CAGAGAAAAAUCAUAAGGACAUUAAAGGAGAGUGUUGAUGAACUUAAUCAAAGGCGAAAGAGCGUAUGGUGGAAUCGGUGGAUCCCAAGAGAGGAAUGAAAUUUGUAAAAAUAGUAAUUUACUUAUGCAUGUAAAUUAUUUUGCAGUCCUCAACCUUAACUUCUCUAGCGGAGUAAAUGAUGUCUAAUAGAGAGUAGAAAAGCAGAUUUUAUAUAAAAAGUAAUGUACAUCAUUCCACUCACACUCGGAUUAAUCCUCUUGUAUGAUAGGAGACGUAUAAAAGAAAAUUUACAGAUAAUCGAUUGUCCCUUCAGUUUUCUGAUUCUGAAUUUCAUACCAUUAUCCUCAGGCAUGCAGAAACACACAUUAACGAAGGCCAAAGAUCAUUCCUGUUGCAUUAUUGUGAGGUUGGUUCUUCUUCCAUGAAGCUGCUUAAUUCAGCCCUUCAUUUCACUUUCUCAAUUUAUUCCUUUUGUAGUAACAUGGAUACGUAGUUCGUUGGAGCUACAAAAAUAGGCAUAUAGAUAGCAUGAUAAUUGACUAAUUAUUUCUGUCUUCCUCACUGGAAUGAAGAUUGUAAGUGGCUAUAAUACGUGUGCAUUCAUCAUUUCCAUAUCCAUCGAAUGGAGUUAGUAGGAAAUGGAACAUCAUAUACAUAGUUUUUUCUUCUUUAAUUUCCUUAACAUUUCUCUUAUUUGCCUCCUUUUCCUAAUCUUGCUUUUCUAUUAGUACUAGUAAUUUCAUCUUGCUUAAUUUGGUGUGUUCGGAAACAAAAAUUUUUCAAAUAUAAUUUUAUUUGUGUCAUAAAAACAUUCUUCAACCACGUUUUUAUAUUUUCAAUUAUCUUUUUAUCUCACAUACAUCAUAUCAAAAAAAGUGCUAUAGCGAUCUUUCUAAAUAAUAUUUUAAGCAAUCUGCCAUCCAAACACACUACGGUAAUUUCAGUUCUGCCACGCUCCAUAAUGCUCAAUUAAAAAUCCUUUCCGGAUCUCAAGGUUUUCACAGCAUACCUGGGAUAUUUCCAGGCAAAAACUGUUAAGGAUGACGAUGAGCCAUGUUAUGGCAUGAGACCUAUCAUUGUGCCAACAAUGUAUUGACCCGUUGUGCUGGAUACGUAUGAGAGUUUCAGAGCUGUGAUAUACAAGUCGGAAUAAUUACAUAUCUAAGCUAAAACUUUAGGAUGAUAAAUGCGUAAAAAAAUAAAAAGGAUAAUGAAUAAGUCAAGCUAAUUCUCUGUUCAUGUUGUGUUCCCUACCCAUAGAGGAUAUAGGGCUUGUUUUCAAAUGAUUCUAAGUAAAUUAAAACAAGAAGAUAAAUGUUUUUAGCUUCUGAUCUGAUUCGAAUUAUGAAAAUCAGAAGCAUCUGUGAGAACUUAUCUACAAAGUUUGAGGUUCUCUGCAGAGCUGACGACUUCAUCCCCGAACUUACAUGGCAAUUCAUGGCUAAGUAAAACUUAAAACUGAGGCCAACGGUGACGGCCAGAUAACCAAAAAUUGGUCUCGUUGUUAGUUGAAAACAUUGGAAGCAAUUCUGACAUGCUUAGGAUAAGUAAUUAUUGUUCGUACAGUUAAUUAACUGUCAUCAACUCACUAUCAAGAAAGAAACCCUUCAGUCCCCACCAUCAUCCUACCUUCCUUCCUCUCCUGAGGGAACUCCAUUUAUGGAGAUUUGAUACGCCCGUAAGAAUACAACUCAUGCACUACUAUGCUUCUUACUACUGAUAUUAUUACCCAUUCGUGCUGGCUUAUGGCAGUUGACACCACAAUUAGGCUACUUAACAUAUUCAAAUCUGCAGAAGUAGCGUCAUCAAUAACUAAUUUACAACUAAGCACUAUUGCUUUGCGGAUGAACUAGCUUUUAAAUAAUUUAGGUGAAUAUACCUACCUAUAUAGAGUUCAAACGUUGGUGGCAGCAAUAAUUAACGAUUAGUAGCAUAAGAUGAUGUCGAGAAUAGCAGGAACAACAACCGUAUCAACCAUGAGAGCUUCACGUGUGACCUGACCUUCUUGUUCAGGCACACAAAAGUCCACUUUUUCAGCCCUUGACAGUACAACACACACCCCACCAUAGUCACUUCAAAGUAAGCCUGGAAGACUCGGAUUAUGGCAUAGUACAAGUUUCUUAAUCAGCACUGUCCCCCUCAGACUUGUUUUCUUUCUUUUAUUGAUAUUUUCCCCUUACCCAAUGUGGUUUUUGGGUCAUAGCCCAUCGUAUGAUUUUAUUGGCAUUUCAAAGUUUUGAUUAGCUUUGGAUAUUUCAUGGUUCAUGAUCAUUUGUUGUUUUAUGCGUGCAUAGAACAAUGACUAUAGCUUACUGAGUCAUCCUGCAUCUAUUUUAAGGACCUGCACAUUGCUUUAUCAUGAGCUAUGGAGCUUGGACUCAAUGUAUCAUGAUUUAACCUUGACUCAGACAUAAUGAAAAUCCAUCAUGGCGGACGAAUUCCCCAUAAGUUAGGUCCAUCUACACGCUUAACAUAAGAUUUGAAAGGAAAAAUUCUUCACUAUGUAAUUGCUAUCAUGCAUUCAAACUCAUCAGUAGAAGAAACGUUUUUCUAUGGCAUACCCUAGUAUCCACUAAAGGAAAGAGCGAAAAAAAAAAAAAAAAAGAGAGAGAAAGAAAAACCAUGUAUUACAAUUAGUUCAAGCUGACUAGAAAAACCAAUAAAACUUUAAUGUCCUAGUCAAGGAGUUGGAGUGUGAAGUGUUACAUUACGUUAUGUAAUUACUUUAUACUCCCUCUCUUUUUUUAUAACUGACGUUUAAGAAAUUUGCUUUUAAGUACUUUUAUCUGUCGUUGUAUUAUCCACAUGCAGCAUUAAUUAUUUUUUCACAAUUUUGCCCUUUUAUCUCUCUUUAUCAAUACAGGACUCUUAAUUACCACUCCUAGUAAUUAUUACUUCUCUCUUUGCUUUUGGCCUAAUAAAACAGCAUCAUUUAAUACUCUAGUGAGAGAAAACAUGAGUGAAUUGGACAAUUAAUGAGGGUACAAAAGGAAAGUAGUGUAUAGAUUUAAACAAUGAAAAACUUUUCUUAAUUGGUGUGCAAAACCUUAAACGUCAGUUAUAAAAAAAGGGAGGGAGUAUAAUGAAGUGUCAUGCGUUAUAUUAUGUUGUUGCUUAAUACCUUUCUUUAUAUCGAGUGAUGAGUUUGAAUUGAAGACAGCUUACGUGAGCUCAGAAACUGAGAAUGGCAGCUUCAAAACUGCUCAAAAGAAAGAACCCCCAAAAAAAGAAAGUAAAAAAAAAUCUUAAAUCAAUAGUUUAUUAGAACUUUAGGUUACUGAAAGCUGGUGUCCUUAGUGAAAUGGGAGGAACACGAGAUAAAGCAAGUGGGUUGGCUUUGCUUGGUAACCUGAUCAUCAAGAUUAAAUUAACCAUUCACUUAAUCGAAUUUUGUGCUGUUUCCCCACUAGAUUUCAGCAAGAAAGGAGUAGUAGAAAAUUCAGCUAUGGUCAUUGCUUGGAAAUGUGGUUUCUUGGGUUCUUAAAUGCUGGUGCAAUAAAAGAGAAUAUGGCGGGGUAAUUGAAGGCUCACGUGAGGCUUAGUUUGACCGUUAUUUUGAUCCGAUUCCCUCGACAAGUAGCGUAAAAAUUCUCGUAAUUAAGCCAAAAUAUGCAGGGCAUACGAUGUUGAAACUUCCUUCCAUUUUUGCAAUUUAAUUCUCUCAAGCAUAUCUUUCUUUGAUCCCUUUUGGUUUUCAAUGUCAUUUUCAGAAUUUUCUAGCACAAAACUUUUUAUGGGUUCUUUGCCUUCAAUUUAUUUUGACAAAUUAUGACAAAAUGUUUCCUACAAAAAAUUCAAUGUCAUUUUACUUUGAGCAGAGUGAUUUCCAUUGGAAUUGUUGAAGACGAUCCUGCAAAGUAAAACGGUGACAAGGCAUCUUCAUUCAGCAAGUUCUUUAAAUUUCUCAUUCAGGAUGUUUUUUUGAUACCCUUAGCUUAGUAGGGUAAAUGCUUUAAUGCCAAUCCGAAUUUACUGAUACUCGUUGUGGCAGUCAACCUAAGAUGACUGAACCCAGAUAUGAUUUCUCCUGUUAAAGAUAUUAUUACAAAAAAAAAAAAAAAAUUCUCAAUAAAAUUGAUUCGUUCUUGGGUCAAUUCAAACUUUUAUUGUUUGCAUGGCAUGCCAACUGUAAGUUUAGUGCUUCAAGAAAAAAGAAAAAUGGAAAUCAAAACUUUGAAUAUAACACUUUGUAUAUCAGUGAUCACUAUAGUGACCCCUACUGAUACAGAAGGCAGAAUUCCUGGAAAAAAUGUUGCCUUGAAGCCGCCACUGCACCCCAUUGUCAUACAUACUGUCUCAGUAACUCCCAGUUAUACAAAGCAAAUACGGGAACUGUUGACUUGAAGUUGCAACCGCACCCCAUUAUCAUACCGAAUUGUCCCAUAUGAAUAAUGCUGAUGGAAAUUUUGCUGGAUUAGAUUGGGAUAAUUCAUUAUAGUAGGCUCUAUUAGGUGGUGCUUUACUUUACAUGUACGUUAGUUAAAAUGGGCAUUUUUUAGUAGGAUCCAACUGAGACCCUCACUUUGUCUGUUUAGGUGGAUCCGACUCAAAUAAGACAUGAACUUAAAUGAGUGUACCAGAAAUAUGCAGGAGAAGGGUCAUUUUGACCAAAAUUAUCACCUCAUCAUCAACACUAUUGCAAGGCAGCUCAUAAACUAAGGAAUUGUGCUACCUUAUUGAAGUAAUGGCUGACCCCUUAUGUUGGUAGGUGAUGCAUGAUAACCAGAGUUGUAUAUAGAGAAUGACAUGGCACUAUGGCAUUGAAUCUACACUUGUACAAAUAUGCAUUAGUAGCGGUAUUUAUUUACUCACUAGUGUUUGAAUAAUUUUAAUCUUUAUUUUUUUUUUCCCCUCCAUGUUGGGGGUUUAUAGCAUGGAAUCCCAAGUGGGUAUGGGACCCUUAUGGUACUGUCUGGUGAGCUAGGGGGCACUGCACACCCCUUGAUGCCCCAUAGUUGGCUCUUUACUCGACCGAGGCAAGUUUGGGCCACACUUGAAACUCCUUAUAUAAAGAGCCCUUCUUGCUCUUUGUUCAUCACUUCAAUUUCAGCAACUUCUUCAUUCAUCACUUGUGAGUUUACCUGCACCAAAGCACAAAGAAGAAAAAAGAACACUUCUUGCAAACUAUUGUAGAGAAGAUGAAGAUGAGCAGCACAAACAUGGGAAGCUCCAAGAGAAGAAUUUCAAGCAGAGGACUAGGAGGGGUCCUAAGAGAGCAAAGGGCUAGGCUUUACAUAAUCAGAAGAUGUGUGGUCAUGCAGCUUUGCUGGCAUGAAUGAAGAGUAUCUUUCUAGUUCUAUCUAGCCUUCAAUAAGAAGGGAUGCUUGUUUCUUUCUUCUUCUUCUUCUUUGAUCAUCUUGGGGAGUGUAAAUAGCAAAGGCCGAGAUUAGUGAGAAAGAAGUUAACAAUUUUGUACUAAUUAUUAAUUGGCUUUAUGAGCCCUCGUGUGUAUACAGUCGGAUAGCUUAAUGGAUUGAAAAAAUCAUCUUUAUCAAUUCAUUGAGUCUUAGUAAUUCUUUUCAUUUCCAUUCAUAUUCUCUCCUUUGAUAUUGUGUGUUAUCAUUUCUGCUGUGGAUUUUUGAAGAUGGAGGACUAGCUAGUUCAUCAGCCAAACUUAAUCAAGCUUUUGCAGGAUGAGGACAUGCCCACAAAAUUGGGUAGCUGAAGUCUAAUUCACAUUAAUCUUUACCUUCUGGUGAUCGGCUAAUCAUCCUUAUGUGAUCAUUUCUUUCAUCAGUCCUCAUGGAGGUUGACUAGUUUAUUAUCCUCACAAUAGUUCGCAUUCAUCACGGUCCUCAACGUACACAAAAAACAAUGAAGAUAAUGAAUGCUUGGAUAUUUAAGCAAUAGGGAACUGGUGAUGAACGAGUUGGGAAGAUGUAUGAUUGGAUUCUUUAGUGCUAGCUCAAAGUUCAUAUCAACUUCAAUUUGCAGAUUUUUCUACUUGUAUUUUCUUUCCUGAAUUAUUCGAAUAUCUGGAUCCCCAGAUUCAGAAUCAGAUGAGCAGGACUUCUAAGUUUCUUCCCAGAAAUUAAAAUUCAAAAAUCCAGCUCUUUGGAAGACUUUUUUUUAUUUCGUUUUAUUUUGGUAUUGGCAUUGGAUUGUUUUCUUUCCUGCAAGAAGUAGUACUAGUACUUCCCUGUUGUCCAAAUUUAGAAGCUACCUAAGCCAUCCCACAAGUACCAGAGAAAACAGGGGUGGAAAAAUUUGUAGUCGUUUUAUUAGGCUUAGCCAGUCAGGUUAUAGCAGAUACGAUACAUAUUACACUUAAUUUUGCAGGCUUUUUUUUUUUUUUCAGAAAAAAAAAGUAGUUGAUAUUUCUAGAUUUAUGCUCUUUAUUUCUGCGCAUAAACUUGAAUUAAACUCUUGACUGGUGCAAACAAGAAAGGGAAAAAAAAUAUAUAGAUUAUCUUUAAUUAGGAGAAUAAUGACUAAACCUUUUUUUCUUUAUAUAUAGAUUUUGAGGGAAUUAUUAUGUUAGCAAAAACCUAGAAAUAGUAGUAUUAUUUCCUGCUGUUUUAACACUUUCUGAUUAUCAUGUAGGCCCUAUAAUCAUUUAAAGUGAUAAAUGCUGUGAUCUUACUUUCCUAGUUUCCAAUCCAGUCAAACUAUUUACAAACUUUUUGUACUCUCAGGAAAGCAGGUCCAAAAAAGAGACAGUAGCAUCUUACUGCAAAGCAUUAUGUUAUUACUUGUUACAUACUUAAUUAACGAUUUUGAUUGUCGUCUUGUGAAUUGCAGGUGCAACAAGAAAUUGACUUAAGACACUAAUUGAUAUAUUUCAUCUGUUUCUUUUGUCUGCUUUUGAUAAUUGAGGGUUUGGUGGCUACAAAUUAAACAUGAAAAUUUAGCUAAUUAAGCUUUUAAUAAUAAUUAAGUUGGAGACUAGUUAGUUUGUGACAACGUAUUGUCUUGAUCAUCUUGUCUUCAACCAAACCUGCAUUAGCGAAUUUCAAAGUAUUCUAGUCGAAGAAAGAGAUGUUGGCCCAACCAGACAACGCCACUGACCCUUAUGUUAAAUCCUGUGAUUAAUGAUUAUCCUAUCCAAGGGACAUUGGAGUCUAACCUUCAUUUCAUUAACAAUUUGUGGGUAAUUAAGGGACUCCAACCUAAUAUUUACAUGUGCCAUGCAUAUUUAUUUAAACUGAAUUAUUAAGUAGUAGUAGAAUUGAAAUAAUAGCACAUAAACUUAAUUAGGAUAAACAGUCAGAUAUUAACACUUCAAACUAUGCUGAACUAGAAUAAUCUUCUUGGAAGGUACUAUUCAUUAUUCUCUUUUUCUUUUCUUUUUUUUUUUCCAUUUUCUCCCAAUUAUUCAGCUAGAGUUGGGCCAACAGGCGCCUAACAACAAAAAGAAAAACUAGUGCCAGAACCAGGCUGCGGCAAAAAACAAGAUAGGAUAAAAAGGAGCAAAAUAUUUGUAUUUUAGUGAUCGUGAGGUACCACAAUAUUUAGUUGUUCUAGUUGAAUUAAAACUUAGGUGAUAGUGACGAACUAAAAAUAAUGGAUAUCAAUUGUCCUCUUUGUUUAAUUUUUAGUAACAUUAUACACAAAGUCUAAAUUUCAAUCUGCAAAUUUACUAUUAAAAACUUGAUAUUUAUAAAUCAAAAAAAUAAUUUUUUUUUAAAUAGCGCGUGAGUGAGAGGGUUCGAAUUCAAAAUCUCACAUUUGCACUCUUUUAUUUUUAAAUAAAAGAGUGCUCUAUAUAUUAUCAAGAAACGUGCCAUCUAAAAACAUGCAACAUAAGAAAUAUCGCUCAUCUUCUGUUUAUUGGAUGCCAAAUCAAUUAAAUGCCGAAUCAAAUUUUGAUGUAAGAUGGUUGAUGUUUCAUGUUUCUUGAAGAGAUUUAUGAUUAAAACGUCAACUUUUAUGCUUAAAUUCAUCUGGAAUCAAACUUACAGCGCGAAGCUUACUGCGUUUGCCAUUCAAUUCUUGCGGCAUCAACAUGAUCUGAUCUGCGAUCAUGUUACUAAAACUGUUCUUUUCUUCUUUCCCCUUCAAAAGAAAAACGAUCAUGCACAGAAAGAAAAGGUGAACCGGAAAAAUCAAACAAAAGUGCUGUACAAGAAAGAAAAAAUAAAUAAUGGCAAAUGGGGUGAAGGAGUUGAAACAGUUAAAAGUCCAAAACUGAAGUGGGGCAAAGAUUGUCAGGCUGCACAGGAGCUGAAUCGCUAAUCUAAUAUUCUGCUGUCGGCCACAUAACAAUUGCCAUCUCAUCUCGUCUCAGCUAAGCCAAAAUUGAGGUGAGCUCAAGAAAUGGAAGUGAUGGAGCCAACCCCCGACACAAUAUGUGAUCAGUCAAAAUGGCAGCCUUAUCCACCCCCACGUGCAUUUUCUUAUCUUCAACCCCACCACCACCACCAUCCCAGCCCAUGAGGCAACCACCACCACCACCUCCACCUCCACAACGACCAUGACCUCCCUCCCCUUUCAAACCCCCCCAGUCCCCACUCCCUGUGAUUCUUUUCUAAUCAUCAAAAAAAUCCCCAUCAAAGUGGUCCGCCCGCCUACCCCUCCCUAGGCAUAUAGAUUCUUCCUAUGUAGUACUCGUAUACUUACUUCCAGUAUGGACUUGGACUAACAUGCAUACAUCAUCACUGCUGAAAAAUUUAACCGAUAUAUCUUCAAAAAAAAAAGAAAGAAAGAGAGGAACGUAAAACUUGUUUCAAGAUUCAGAUCAACUGCUAUAUGCAUGUAUAUAUGUAUGUUUGUGUGUGUAUAUAUAUAUCUUCUUGUACUUGGGAUGCAAUAGACGUUCAAUGCCAAUAUCUGACUAAGAUAAUUCAUAUCUCCUUCGUUACGUACGCUUGAAUGGAUGGUUGGCUUUGCAAUGGAUGAUAUAUCUCCCAGUUUUGGGGUCUAAUCUUAGCACCCGCCAAGCAUAUAUGCUCGCCCGUUUGUAGAUACAUCUGGGUGAAUUGAUGCGUAGUUUUGGUAGGUAAGGUGAGUCAGAGUUGAUAAGAACAGCUGACUAACGAGUAACUGGGUGGAAUCAUAAUUUACGUAAAUUAAAUGGGUCAGAAAGGCAAUUAUAUGAUAGGUCUACGCGUGUCAAUAUUUCUUCCCCUCCCAUGCGGCCCUUUGGCAUAGAUGCAAAGGAAGUGGAAAGCCUGGAAGGGGUUUCGUUAAGCUAGGGGCGGAGCCAGGAAAAAAUCCUAGUGGGGGCAAAAAUAAUACUAAAAUUUUUUAUUUACUCUUUUUCUAAUUUUUUAAGCAAAAAAAAAAAAAAGUUUCAGGCAUAAAAACACCGUUUCACAAGUUAAAAUAUUUAUCAAAUAACUCAUUUAUUAGUUAUUACAUUAACUAAUCAAUUUUCAAAUUUCUUUAAAACAGUAAUAGUCUCAUGCUCUAGAAAUAUAUUUGCAAACAAAUUUAAAAUAAUAAUAAUAAUAAGUAAUUGUUUAGAACCUGAUUUUGGUGGUCUCCUAAAGUUGGUGAAAAGAGUUGCAAAAUGUGGCGGACCCAAGUCCUAAAAGAUCAAUUGAUUUUGGUGCAAUCUCUAAAUAGAAUGAAGUGAUCAAAAGAAAGAGUAACAAACUUUGGUUGUGGAAAAAAAAAAUGGCUCUCCCGUGUAUGUUGGGGAGUGGGGACAACCAAGAGUCAGAUAAAGAAAGGGAAAUUGGGGAGUGGGGGCAAAGGAAGUAAAUGAUAAUUGGAUGAAGUGAUAAAAAGAAAAAAAUAGUUGGCUUGGAUGUGGAAGAAGAGGAGCCAGUUGUGAAGGGAAAUGGGGGACCACAGGAGUAAAGGGAACUUGGAGAGUGCGGACCAAAAGGAAUGACUGAUAUAAUUGGUACUUCGCCCUGUUGGUGGGAAAAUGAGAACUAGAGGAGGAAAAUGAAUGAUAUAAAUUUUGUGAUCUAUUCUUUCACAUUUUUUCUAAAAAAAAUUCUGGAAGCACCUUUAAAAUUAUGUCAAAAUUAUAGAUGUAUUAUAGGAAUUUAAGGGGAGCAGUGGGGCCGGUGCCCCCACUUUAAAUCCGCCCCUUGAGCUUAGAACCUUGGAAGGCUUUGGUGGGCAUCAUCACUUGAACUCAUUUCUCAAUUGUUUCUGUCAAUUGUGCCCGCAAUUAUUCGUUGUGAGAAAGUGAUUACAGAUGGGAGCAGUGGGCGCUUUCAUGCUAAAAGAAUGUGCUUUUGUCCACCUCCGAAACACCCCCCCCACCCCCUCCCAAAACCCCCAACCCUACAGCAAUUACCUCUGACUUGAAUAUAAAUUUAAAUCUAACAAAGAAAAUGAAGAAAAAAGGGGUUUAUGUGAUAAAUUUCUCGUAAUAAAGACGUGAUUACCUUUUUGCUGGUUAGAUUACGUUUGAUCGUUAGUCAUGAGGAUAGUUUGUAGGUAGGUUUCAUCAACGUAAAGGGUGAUUUGUUACUUACCUCUAAUGAGAGGGGGGUAAUUGAAAUUUAGCCUGGAAUGAAAGGAAGGAGAAAUCAAUCAUGCAGAGUCUAUAUAUCUUUUGAAUUUUUUAUUCUUGUGAGAGGAUUUAAUAUUGAGAAUCGAGAGGCCAAUGCAUUGCGAUAGAAACAAGAGAAGAAGAAGCCAGAAGUGGUCCAUUUCCACAUGGAUUAAUUUAACUCUUUCGGACUUGUGGCAUUAGGGGUUCAGCCUAGAUGGUGUCUUAUUGGGACACAGCCACUCAUGCAGCUCUGCAUUGCUUCUUUUUCUUUUGGUGCUUUGAACUUUGAAGGCUUGCCUGCUUCAUGAUGGUCAAGAAACUAAACUAUAGAUGUAAAAAAAAAAAAAACACACUCUUUUUUUCUUUCCAACCUCAAUGUCCUCCCUGUCCACCUCCAAUAAUAUAUCUAUCCAAAUCGAUCUGUGUGGAUGAUUGCUGAGAAUAGUAACCUUUUGCAUGCAAUUAUAUGAUCAAGCGUCUGCGUGUACAUGUGUGAAUUAACUGUGCUGUAGGAUUCGGCCGCGAAGAUAUAUGACAAAGUUUUGCAAGAUUCAAACGACUCAUGAUUUGAAGUUAGAGUAACAAUCAAUACGAAAAUGAGGGGAAAAAAAUGUUAUUGCAUGAUUACGAGUAUUGAAUUUACGUGACAAGAUCCAAUUCACAGGGUCCCUCCAUUGUGAUGAAAACAUUGCAUUUCACCUACAUUUGCUACCAUUUGACAUCUACUCCUAACUCUUCUGCCCGGUGGCGGAGGGAGGGGGGGAGUGACUAGCAAUAACUUUGUUUUUGCUCAUAAUAUUUUAUAGAUUUUUUUUUUUUUUUGGUAAUUUUCUUUUAACUUGUCCUCCCUCCGAGUCCGCAGGUAUUGUUUACCUUACAUGAUCUCUUGCCUUCUUCCCCUCCUCCUGUAACUUGACUUUUUGCCUAAAAAAUGUUAUGGUCCUUCUCUUCUUUAAAUUGCUGCCCAAAGUAAAACAUACUUAUUAUGUCAAAGAAAUCCUUGCUAAUUGGAGUAUAUCUUUUUGUGCAUGUAUUGUGUACAAGUUAAUCAGUAAAGAUUGUCAAAUAGAUGGAACAUUGGGUGGGGGUUUAAUCAGUUAAGAAAAUGAAAUCAAUAAAGUUAUGAACUUUCACAAAACGAUCAUUCUACCUGAAGUUAAAACGGAUGACACAUUUAAUAUCUAUCCUAUUCUGCACAUCAAUUAUUUUAUCUGCAGGAUAGGAAAAUCGGGUGUUACAUGGAAAUGCUACAACUCGUUAUCCAACUUGAAAAUACCAUUUAGAAGAUGACUUUAAGUUCACCACUUAAACCACUCUUUACUCUCAAGAAUCGAAACUGAUAAUCCUAGCAUGGCAAAUAGUGUGUGUGUGUGUGUGUGCGUGUGAAGUAUCUAGGCAGAAGCAAAAGGGUCCUGGAAAGGUGGAACUGGAGUGGACAAUAUUGUGAUAAAAAAAGAGUGUAGUUGCUGGCACAUUUUGGUGAAACUGCCCUCUGUCGAAUGCUUUAUACCGCGUUCCUUCCCACAUCAUCUCAAACAAGGAAAAAGAAAAAGAGGUACGAGACUUUCAGAUCAAAGUUUGGUGAUUCUUGAACAAAAGAGACACCUAAUUAUGACCCAGCCUCAACUUCUUUUUAUCUUGGAAGAAAAUUUUAAGUGACGAAUCAAAUGAGCAUCCAAAUCUUUGGAGUGCAUAUCAUCAUACUUAUUUAUUGUCUAUUACUCGCUCUUAGAAUUAUGAUAAUAGAGAAAAAAAAAUUAGAUGACCGUUCGUUUCCAAAAUUCAAUUUAACUCGUACGAACAUUAGUGUGAUCAUGAGUUUUCUCGUUCAACUCUUUAACCUUUUCUUUUUUUCUUUCCCCCGCUAAGUACUAUUCUACAUUUUGUUGAUUCGAUAUCUUCUUUAUUCAAACAAAUAUUUGGCCAGCUAGUAACACAAAAAAGAAGAAGAAGAAAAAUUACUCCCGCUUGAGCAAGCUGCCAAUGUAGGAGUGGAGCGUGCAACACAUGAUGUUCUACACCCCGAAAGUCCCAACCCCCACCCUUUGAGAGGGCACAAGGUCCACAACCGCACCCACCAGGCAGAGCAAUUACCAAUUCUGCAUCCUAGAAUGACUACUGCUGAAACCGAUCAUGUUAAGGCUAGGACCAGUCGUUUCUAAAAUCCAUUUAUAGGCCAACCAUAAUAUGACCUGUAAGGUUCUUAGGUUCAAUGAAUCCUUCAUUUACGUUGAUGGGACAUAUGAAUCCAUCUUUGUUCCAACGAAAUAAUGGUUGACCUGAUGCUGGAAUUCUCUCGAGUUCUCCGUUGAGUAUUCUAUUUAGGUAUAUGUACCUUAAGGGUCUGUUUGGUUCAUGGAAUGACACAGAAUAGUAUUUUUGAAGUAUAGAUAUAUAUAUAUAUAUAUACACACAAAACGGAUAGGCGCGAUCGUGAGUACUAAAUCAAGAUCUAAUUCUUACUACAUCAUAGUGUCUUUGGAGUACAUUAGCCCUUUUUACUUUAUCUCUCUAUGAAGAAUAAAUUAUCCUUACUUAAAGAAAAUAAUGUCAGCAGAUAUAUGGUAGUUUCCAUGAAUCCAUUUUUAGACAGAAAUUAUUGAGAGCUAUAGGGAGUUCAAAGUUUCAUGAGCUGCGGUGUGGUGCCAGAUUGUAUAAGGGCCCCAUGUAGCGAUUUUUUGUUGGACUGAUGAUUCGAUCUUUACAAACAGGUGUGAACAGAUAGUUCAGCCAUCAGUUCUUAAUGCUCUUAGUGGACUGAGGGACCAAAGCCCAGAGUUUGCCUAACAAGGACAAAUAUCAUAGGCCCAACAAUGGGCUAUUUUUUAUUUUUUAUUUUUAUAUUUUUUUAGUAUGAGUGGGAGGACUCCAACCAAGUUUUUAGAAAAAUUCCUACACUUUCACAGUGGAGAUGUUUCACUUUUUUUUUUUUUUGUGGUGUUCCAUUUUAAAUUUUUUUUUUUUUUUAAUGGGGGAUGUGGAGAAGAAGCAGGAAUGAAAUAAUGGGCAUAAAAACAGAGAAAUUUGACUAGCAAGUGACAGUAAUCAAUUGUCUUAACUAUUGGACUAAGGUUUAAUGAUUAGAUGCACUGUGCUCUUCCGCUGUGUUCCAUUUUGCAGGCUUCGUCAUCCAGAACUUUCAGCCCAGUAACCUUUUAUCCUGGAUCCAAAUGAGCCACCAUGACAUGCAGAUGUAGCUUCUAAAUCUGGACGAAUGGAGCAAAGUUAUCUGUCUGGGUUUGUAUGCUUUUUGUUCUUUAAUUUGAGCCAACUCAGGCCCAAGUAUGUUUCAUUUGUCACUCCUUCAAAGCAUGGCUCAAAAGCUUUAGCUUGACAUGCAAAUGAGCUUUGUAAUGCUUAAGUUUUGAGCGAACCAAGCAAUCUACAAACAAGUUCGUAUUUGCCUUGUUUGAGUUCUUGAUUUCGAACACAAAAUUAGACUGGUGGAAUAAUUUAGCCGCCCUCUCUUCUCCUCCCUUUCUUAAAUCUGGUCGUAUGAUUCGAUCGUGACCAAAUCUAUUCACACGACAAAAUUCCAUUGAAAAAGAGGACGAAGGUGUUUCGUUAACCCUUCCCUCUUCCCCCACCCCCUCUUCACGUCAUCACCUCCACUUUUCCCUCUCUCUCCUCCCCUUUCAUCCCCCUCCCUUGCAUUUAGAGCUGUUAAGCGUAACGAGCUACUCGAAAGCUCGUUAAGGCUCGGAUCGAUAAGGCUCGAGCUCGGCUCGUUAAUUUCAAUUAACGAGCCGAGCUCGAGCUCGAUAAAUACUCGUUGAGUUAUCGAGCCGAGUAAGCUCGAACUCGAUUCUUUAUCGAGUAGCUCGGUUGAGCUCGACAAAGAAGGGUAUUUGUGUCAUUUUAGCAGUCAACAAGUAGAAAUUUGGACUAGGGUUGAUAUUGCAUCGUCUCAUACUCUCAUUCUUCAUUUCUGCCUCUCCCUCUCCGCUGCACGCCGCACCCAGUAACCCACAGCCGCACCCACAGGCCACAGCCCCGCAACGCCGCAGCUCCGCAACCCUGCAACCCUGCAGCCCGGAUCUGGAUCAACCCUGCAACCCCGCAGCUCCGCAACCCUGCCAGCCCCGCAACACCGCAACCCGCAACCAGUAACCCACAGCCGCACCCACAGCCCCGCAACGCCUCAGCUCUGCAACCCCGCAGCAACCCCGCAGCCCCGCACAACCCCGCAACCCCGCAGCCCGCAACCCCGCAACACCGUAACCCCGCACUCCACAGCAAGCCGCACUCCACAGCUGCAACCCACAGCAACCUCUGCCUCCACUGCCGCCCACAGCCUCUGUUUUCUGCCAUUAACAACCCCGUCCACGGCCAGGGCCAAAACCAGUCCAAUUUGACUGGUUUCUCUAAUCCUUCGUGAUAUUUGGUAAGUCUCGUCUCUUUUCGUAGGUUAAUUGUACUGAAUGACAAGAGUUCAUUCUUGUCUCUUUUCUGGUUUAGUAGCAGUUGGUAAUGUAGUAGUUGACACAUCUCAUAUGUACAAGGAUGGAUCAACAAAUUUUCUUCUCGCGUGAGGACUGCAUCCAACCUCUUUGUUUUAUUCCUUUCUGCAAUAACUUGCAGUUCAAUCAUAGAAAUUUAAUGUGGAAAAUCUAGAUUAUGCUUAUUAAUAUCUGAUAAUUUUAAAGAGUACUCGAAAAGAUAACGUCUGAGUUUUUGCAGUAGUUUUACCUUUUCUUCAUGGAUUUCUUGGGGGGAUGGGGUGGGGAAGCAAGAAGUGUUCUGCUUGUGGGUAUAAUCUGCUGCUAAAUGUGCCUAUAAAUCUUUUCUAAAACUUAAUUAUUAGUACAAUUAGAUAUUGCACUUCAAUAUCUGGAGGAUUGAAAGGGAAGAAAAUAAGUAUGGUUGAUUAAGACUUCUUAUUUGUGAAAUUUGAGAAAAAAGAUGUAAGGAUGUUAACCUUGAUAUCAAAAAAGCCUUACGGACUUAAUUUGGACAGCAUACUUCUUUUUUUUUGGGUAAAUUUUUGAUCUUUUGAAUGAAACAUGUCAAUGUUCGUGAGCUAACUGUUGCACUAUCACAGGGAUUGAUUGGCCUUUCAUUUCAUUUCAUUUCAAUUUCAAAGUGUUUGAUUAGUUUGAUAUUUUCGUCUUGGGGCCAUUUAUGUGUGUGUGAAUUGAGUUAAAUGAAUUGUUGAAUGAAUAAUAUAGGCACUACACCAUAUGUGCCUUCAUCUAUUUUGUUCAGCCUCUCGAACUCAUCAACACUUUUACAACCCUGAAGCAUGUUCACGGCCCUUGGUGGAGGAACUGCAUGUUCUGGUGUCCCGUGGGAGUUGUGUUCAUCAUCAGAACCAGUAUCCGCAUUGCUACCACUGGUUCCACCAUAACUGCGAUCUUCAUCAACCUCCAUGUACUCAUUCCUGUCCAAUUCAUCAGGAUCACUAUCUCCACUAAAGGAUCUAACGCGUUCAUCAGAAGACCUGACCCUAUUUCCCACUGAACCUUCUCUCCUCAGUUCCAUGUACUCAUUCCUUGUGAAGCUGUACUUAUUCUUGUGAUUUCUGAAGGGGUUGUACUUUUUCUUGUCAGGUGUUUGAAGUUGGACAAUUUUUAAGCUAUGUAGCAGUGUUUUACAUGGUUAUUUGGCUGUAGUUUGUGCGUUUAUUUGGCUGGACAAAACCUGUUAUGGUAUAUUGGCUCUUAUGAAUGUUGUUUCAUAUGGAAUUAGACUGUAGUUUGUGUAUUUGUUGACUGCAGCCCUGGAGUUUGUGUUGUAUGGAUCAUGGAUGUUAUGGUCUUAUUUGUCUUGGAUGAAAUGUGGUUAGAGUUUGUGUAUUGUUGAAUGUGAAUGGCAUUGGUUGCCAAUCCUAAUAUUUUUUGUUGAUUUUGGAUAGCCUAAAUCUGGAUAUGUUGGAGCAGGACUUCGUAAAUAACUGAUUGUUGAAUUUUGAAAUCGAGCCUCAAAAUCGAGUCUCGAGCUUCGAACUCGAGUCUAAAAUCAAGCCUCGAGCCUCGAACUCGAGCCUUGAGCUCGGAUAGAUAUUUCGAGCUCGAGCUCGAGCUCGUCCCGAGCCUGGCUCGUUUAUGAUAAACGAGUCGAGCUCGAGCUCGAGUUCGAGUCACAUUUCCUUUUUUCGAGUCGAGUUCGAGUGCGUAUUAUGGCUCGUUAGCGCUAUCGAGCGAGCUCGAGCUUGGCUCGAAUUCGUCACGAGUCGAGCUCGGCGUUCAGAUACUCGGCUCGACUCGGCUCGAUUAACAGCACUACUUGCAUUCCCCCACCACCUUCCUCUUUCUCCACAUUGGUUCCCUUUCUCCUUCACCCCCGUCCUCCCUUCCCCCUCCCCUCCUUGAAUCUAGCAGGAAUGAACGACCAGGUUGUGACCAAAUCUGGUCACACAACAAGAUCCCAUGGGAAAGGAGGGAGGAAAACCUAAAACAGGAAGGCGGGGAGGCAAGAAAUAGAAGGUGAAGUGCUACAAGAGGAGAAAAGGUGGAGAAAAAUGAGGAAAUGGAAGGCAGAAGAACAGAGGGAGGAUAAGGAAGGUGAGGUGGUAGAGAAGGGAAAAAAGAAAGAAAAGGGAGUAACAGAGGAAACAGGAAAAACUGCAAAUUAUAAAAAUACUCCAAAUAUAUUUCAAAUUUUAAAGGCACGUAAAAUACAAUUGCACAGUAAAUUUUUACUAUACAAUCCUAUAGUAUAAUUUUUAUAAAAUAUCCCAAAAAAUGUCUAAUCCAUGCCAAUCCAUAGGUUUACAUAUGAUGGUAUCUAUAAUUGUAAAUGAAGUAAAACUUGAUAAGCCACCUUUCCAUUUUCUCGCAUGACCCUAAUCUUGGUCUUAUCUCGAUAAAAAGAGGGAAAAAUACAAAAGAAAAUGCAAAACAAAUAAAAAAAUGUCAGAAAAGCACAUUUUAGUUAUGAUAAAAUAAACAAAAGCAUACCCAUCAAGUUACAAUUGUAACAGGUACAAGGAAGCUGUCAUACAAACUUACGUUCAACUGAGAAGCUAGUCAAAACAUGGGCUACUAUAUGAGCCUAUACAUCAUUCAAGUAUUCUGAUUCAAAAUGAACAUUUUUAGCAAGAAGCUUCAAAUUGACAGCUUCAAAGUCAGUCGUCCUUUCUCUCCAUUCCGUGCUUCAGACAAAAAACCCACCUGUGCUCCUGCUUGUCAAGUACCGUGCUCCUCAAUGUCAGCAGAUUUGUUUCCACCCCAUGAUAUAAAACUAUCCUGAGAUGCAAAUUCCUGCAAUUUGUUUCCACCCCAUGAUAUAAAACUAUCCUGAGAUGCAAAUUCCUGCAAAGCACUUGAAACCUUGAACUAGAACUAAAGAAGGUGAAGGUAGUAGUAAACUAACCAAGAUAAAGUAGACUACUAAUAUAAUAUGAAGCAGGGAGAGGAGGUUUGAACUCACAAGCUGGCUCAACCGGAAGUCAGGAGGUGUAUCUAGCUCCAGGUUUACUGGAUCAAGGACCAGAUCUUGGCACUCUUCUAAAUCUUUCUUCAAAUGUUCAGGUCCUAAGUGGGCAUAAUCAGCAAGACGAGGUUUGGGUUUUAAUUCUUGCUCAUUUUUAUCUCCAUCUCUGUUUGGAGAUUGGCUCCGUAGAAACUCAUCACAUAAAGAUAGUGCUUCUACAAGUUGCUGUGAGUCUAGCAAGUAUUGUGAUUCACUAUCCCACCACUCUCUCUUCUCACCAGCAUCAUUGUCGGUUUUAUCAUCCUGUUGAUCAGCAAGAUCCACAGCAGUGACAGGAUCUUCACAAUUGGGCUGGUCGCUUGGAGGUCUAACCUCAUCUUCCAUGCAAACCACACCAUGAUGCUACAGAAUAAUUAACAAUCACUGAAUGAUAGAUAAUGGAGAUGUUAAUAGAAUUUCUAAUUCUCCACCCUGGCAAGAGUCCUCUACCAUCGUGAUUUUGGUGGUUGUGCUACCCCGCAAACUUCUUUUUUUAAAGUUCAUAAAUGAGUAUAAGAUCAAUACAAUGAACAAAAAAUGAUGUAACAGCCACAGAACACAAAGGUGCCUUUGAUUGGCGGUCAUAAGAAGCAAAAUGAAUGGCAAAUACUAAACACCCCCACCCUUCAUGGUAUCUGGAAGUGCCAAAUUGAAAUGAUUUUAAACAGGGAGGACCCAACUUUACCUGAGCCGCUGGAAGAACAGAUUCUUGGGCAUCACAAUCAGGGAAGUGGCUUUCAGUACGAGGUGGUUCAGGGGUCACAGACUUGGGAGUAACAGGAUCUACCUUGACAAUCGAGGCAUCAUCUUCUGGAACUUCUACUUCAGCCUUUUCAUUCUGCUUGACCUGUUGCUGCUGAUAAAAGACCUUGGAGAUAACAUAUUCUCCCUCCCUUUCAUCUUCCUCUGUACCAAGGUGAUACUGGUGCAUCACCCAAUUAGUCUUCUCUGGCUUGCCACCUCUUACUGGGCUAAGAUACAGCACCAUAAUUUUUUUACAUCCUUUUUGUAUACAAUCCAAAUGAACAGGCUUUGUCCGACCAGUCUUAUGCCAACGAACAUCUCCAGAACUGUCACCAAGUAUCUUUCGACGUUUUCUAGUUCCAGUAUUAUAAGCUUUGAUUGCCCUGUGAAAAAAGUGUGCUACACUUCCAUCCUGUUUAACACCUAAAAACCACUACUUUAAAAGACUGAAGUCCAAAGAAAACAAUUACAAACCAAAGCAUUAAAGUGGAAUUAUUAAGUCUUGUAUAUGUAAACAUAACCUACCAGGCAAAUUUUGAGGAUGGGUAUAGCAGAUUCCAUCAUCUUCAUUAACAGUUGGAAUAAAUUCUUCAAUAAAAGGAUGGGGCUUCAUAUUUUCAAUUCCAACUUUUCCAAGUAAAUGCCAAAUAAUUUCUUGAUCAGAUGGAUCAAACUUUACCCCUCGAGGUAAUCCCGGCCACUCUUGGGUGACCUGAAAAAACAAAGACAGAAGAAAGAAACAAACGAUUUUCAGCUUUCAGUCUCUAACUGCUCCUAUGCACUUUUAAUAUGAGGAAAACAUCUUUUGGAAAACUGGCAACUAAAUGUUCUGUUCAUCUCACUACUAUGUUUUUGCUCUAGCAAAGCAAAUGGGCUUAACCUUCGACACAGCCACAUGGGACAAAUACGCAUAAAAGCAUACCAAAAUUUUAACGAAGCUGAAAAUCAGAAAAUCAAUUCAUCCUGCCCCACAAUUAUUGAUUUCUCUUACACAAUUAAAAAUAGCAAUGUCCAUAGGCUUUCUCUUACACAAGUAUUUUUGCAUUUCAACCACACCUAAAAGAACAAUACUGAUUAUUAAAUAAUGAUCCAAUGAAGAAAGCACAGGCAAGUAGAAAGAGAUGGGUCACAGAUAUUAAAUAUGAUAAUCUUUCUUCUCAAUUAACCACUCCCAGAAACUAAUUUCCAACAAUAAAUUUGUGUUUCUGAUUAAGAAGCAACUACUGCUGAAGCUUGUUCCAGAUAAUAUGAUGCACAUCCAUUUUGAGAUAUGCAAAAAUUUAUGAGAGAAGAAAUAUACAUCGCUAUUGUCAAUGACAUGCUGACAAUUUGGGCAAGUUUUUGUAGGAUUGCUUGUCCAGUUAACUUGUUGCAGAUUACUUGCGCCAGAUGCACUCCUAAUUUUGGUUGCAAUUCUGUUACUAUCAACCAGCCACGAUGGUCUGCAUAAUUUCACGAAAUAAAUCAAGUUCAUGCACUGAACAGCUUGAAAGCUUAAGAAGUGCCAAAGCAGAUGAGACCCAUAAGAAUAGAGGAUAUUGACACGGAAGUAAAUAUUAGACCACAUAUAAUUAGGAUUCUACAGCAUACAGAAAAUGUAUGAAAAUAUAGAUUUGAAAAGUAAGCAAGCAUAAUUAGCAGCACAGGAAAAAUGUACAUAAGAUUUCACACCAAUUAAAGCAUAAUCUUGCCAAACAAUAAAAUCAUUUCACAUUCACUACAUCUGGAUUUGCAUUUAGAGGAAAGAACCAUACUUAGAAGCACAACAAAAUCAGUGGGAAGAUACUUUGCUCCUCUACUAAAUGCAAAUCAAUUUCGAAACUUUUCUCAACUUCAUCCUUUAAUAGGCAGCACAGAGUAAACUUCUCCAAAGAAGUUGUUUUUACCAGCCAGAAAUAAAUACAUCCAUUGCUUAUUAUCAAUAAAAGCUAAUGAGGUUUAUCAGAAGUUAUGUUAUGAAUAUAUAUAUAUAUAUAUAUAUAUAUAUAUAUAUAUAUAUAUAUAUAUAUAUAUAUAUAUAUCCUUUAAGGAGCUACCUGCAUCCAAAAGAAUUAUCUGCAGGCUUAAAAUUUAGGACUACAGGAGUCAACAAAAUAAUUUCAUUCUUUUAGAUGUUUUUCUAUUCAGAAUAAGAAUUACACUCCAUUAAGUAUUAGAAAUUUUCUUGAAUAACAUUAAAUAUCCAAUUCAUGUUCUCGUGCUAAGUUUUACUCAAGACACGUCAGACCUCAUUUACCUGAAAUAAUGGCCCUUCUCUUGCAAAUACAAGUCAUGUUAUCUCACUUUGCUCAUUUCCAAACAUAACUAUUAUGGGAUGUUGGCCCCUUUCUCAAGAUGAAAAAAAAAAAGAAACAAAAAAAAGAUGACAAUGGAGGAUAUUCUCCUAAUAACAUCUGUUCCAACAACUGAAAAUGGCUAUGGUUCAUAUCGAUGUUUGAAUGUGAUAAAAAUUGCAUAUUUAUACGAUUUUGACUUGAGCCGGAAAGCCUUUGCAGACAUCCUCAACUUUCUCAAUCACAAAACAAACACAAACCUGAAUUAGUUGACUUCUUGUGUAUUACUGAAUUUAAUAGAUCAAUAUACUCAAAACUGACUACAUUCACCCAUUAAAUGAAUAAAAAAAAAUAAAUGAAUAGAAAGGGGCAAUCACAACUUCUCGACUGUAAAAUCGGGAAAGCAAGAAAAUCAAUCCCCUGAAAACCAGCAGGCAAAUAUUCCCACAUUGACCAUUCAACGCCAGAACCAGCAAUUCUUUUUUAGCUACAUGCAGCUCUAAACGUCUUAUAGGAAUAUCAAGCACCAAAACUCACCGCUAUCAACGAAAACUCACAUGAUAUAAUCACAUGCACAUAUAUCUCCAACUGCAAAAAAUAGAUCUUUUACGGAGGUUGCAGCUACAAGUUUAAUUUUAUAUUUUUGUUUUAUAGCCUAAUCAGAAUUUAAAUUUUUUUUUUUUUUUUUUAUAAGUGGGAGGUCUUGGGUUGCAAGAACUCCUACUUACAAUCCCCCUCCCUUACCAUCCAACUCAACCCUCCCCGCCAUCGCCUAAUCAGAUAAGUAAAAAAUAGUUAAUAAACAACAAACUUAUUUCCAAGAAGGAGGCAGAGGGCCGGGUUGGGAGGAACCAUCGCUUUAUCGGAAACACUCAGAGUACAAAACCACCACCACCACCAUCAUUUCCCAAAAAAAAAAAAAAAGGCUUCACAUGAUCUUUCAGGCUAAUCCACAAAAUGGGUAAAGCUGAUAAACCAAAAAAAACAAAAACAAAAUCCGUUCUUUCAUCAAAACCACAAGACCCAACUCAGAGUUGACCUAGAAGAUUCAAUAGAUACUCAUAAAGAUUCAAUCUUUGCACUAUCUACAAGUCAAUGAGUUCGACAAAAUCAAGUCUAUGGUGAAUUUUCAGUAAACAGCACAAGAGGAAUAAAAGGAAGGAGACCACAAGCAGAGACAUACCGAGCCAUGGGAGAAUGGAUGUGAUCAAAGGCAGCAAAAAGUGAAACAAAUGCCCCUUUUCUUCUACUAUUUAAUGCUUUGAAUUCGUACUGCAACUAGUGCUUCUACAGUUCUCCACCUACUAAUACAUUAACUAUUAAAGCAUCUUGGGAAUUUCCCAAAUAAUAGUAGUGUAGUUUAAGAGGUUUCAUAAGUGUUUUCAGUUUUCCUAGCCAUUAUAUACUGCUAUGUGCUUCGGACGCAUUUUUUGGUGAAUUUUGAAAAAUUUGAAAGCGUGUCUUGGCAUUGUUUCAGUCUACUUACUGUGCUUUGAGUACGACGAUGAUGGUUUGACUAUUGACUAGACAACCUGUGAUUAAUCAAUACCUACAGAAAAAUGGAAUUGAAAGUGGAAAAGGCCAUCAACCGACACUUAGUAGGAGUUUGGCCACUGAUUGUUUUAUACUAGGCCACAUGUUGUUUGAUUUAUGUUCAUCUCAAUAAUGCUAAAUUGAUUGUUGCCUUUUUUUUCUUAAUGCUAUUUUACAUCGUAAACAUGUUUUCGGCAACUGCUAAAUUGAUUGUUACGGUAUAUUUUUUUUUUUAUAAAUUAUUCAAAAUAAUCUCUUAUCGACACACACUCUCGGACUGUUUCUAAGAGCAUAAUGUUUUAUUUAUGAGAGGAAAAAGUCCAAAUUGUUCAAUACUUUCCCACAAAAUACUAGCAAUUUGAUAAAAAGUUUAAUACUUUGUUCUAGAUUGUUAGGUAAUACCACAAGAAUCAAACGUGUAAAGAAGGGCUCAAAGGUGGAUCAAAUUACUUGAUCCUUAAAUCAAGUUCGUUCAUUUUCUAUUUUCUAACUCGUUAAACAAAUCAUAAAGUAUUUGGUUAAGUUUCAAACCUCGCUAGAGUUUGGUUUGAUUAGCAUAAAUUUUGAAACAUAUAUAUAUAUAUAUAUAUCAAAUAUCUAUACUAUAUAAAAAGUUUGAGAAAGGGGUUUGGGAUUAACAUUUAUCAUCAUUUUAUAAACCUUCUUUUUUAUCCUUAUAAAAAUUACUUUUAUUUUAACUACCUAUAACUACUCAUGACUAUUUUUACUUUUAACUAUUUAAAUAUAUGUUUUAAACGUAACUAUUCCUACAUAUCAUAGCUACCAAUAUAAAAUUAUUAUAUAAAAUAUAUAUUUAAAAGAUUAAAGUUUGUUUUAGUAAUAACAAUUUUAUUUAAAACAUAACCGAUAAUAUUAUGUAGUUUUUGAUUGCACAUGCAUUAGUGUGUAUUGAGUAAUAGUUAAAUUUAGGGAUAAUUUCAGAAACCUCCCCUGAGGUUUUUGACAUUUACACUUACCUCCCCUGUGGUUUGAACAAUUACACUGACCUCCCCUGAGGUUACUAAUCCUUUACAAAUUCAGUCCAAAUGAUUAAAAUAUUAUUUUAGAGAGUGAAAUUAGAAUUUUGUACCUGAUUUGUCCUUUGUGUCACAUGUCCAAUGAAUGGCAAAGUAUUACAAAUUAAUUAACAAUUAAUAAACUUUAACGAGCGUAGUUUAUAGGCAAAUACGUAUUGCCUAUUUAAAGUACCAGCUCUUUACAUGAAUUUUAUUUUCAAGCAUUUACUUUAUCACAAAUAUUUAUUCUCAAAUACAGAUUUGUAUUUAUUCUCAAAUAUUUAAUUUUUGUUAAAUACAAAACCUACCAGUUUUUCUUCCGUAGAAAUAUUAAUAUAACAUUUUUUCAAUUUCAAUUACAAAUAUUUAUGUAUUUAACAUAAAUUAAAUGAUUCAGAAUAAAAUACUCAUAAAGAGCUAAUACUUUACUCAUGUAAUGGAUGAAAGCCAUAAAAAAUUAACAUUUUAUAGGCCAUUUCUUUUUUUUAAAAAAUUUUAAUUUAUAUUAAAUAGAUAGCCUAUCGAUUUUCUUUUUACAAGAAUAUUAUUGUAACACCUUUUAAUUUUUAAUUACAAAUAUUGAUAUAUUUAUUGUAAAUUAAAUAUUUAAAAAUAAAAUAACUGUAAAGAGCCGGUACUUUAAAUAAGUUAUGCGUGUUUGCCUAUAAACUACACUCCUUACUUAAAUCAAUAAACUACACUCCUUAACUUAAAUCAAUAAACUAUACUCCUUACUUUAAAUAGUGUAGUUUAUAGGCAAAUAUGCAUAUCCUAUUUAAAGUAUCGGCUCUUUACAGAUAUUUUAUUUUCAAAUAUUUAAUUUAUGAUAAAUAUAUUAACAUUUGUAAUUAAAAAUUAAAAAGUGUUAAAGUAAUAUUCUUGUAAAAAAAAUCAGUAGGUUAUCUAUUUAAUAUAAAUUAAAUAUUUUUAAAAAAAUAAAUGGCCUCAUAAACUAUUAAUUUUUUAUGACUUUCAUCCAUUACAUGAGUAAAGUAUUGGCUCUUUAUGGAUAUUUUAUCAUAAAUCAUUUAAUUUAUGUUAAAUACAUAAAUAUUUAUAACUAAAAUUGAAAAAGUGUUAUAUUAAUAUUUCUACGCAAGAAAAACUGGUAGGUUUUGUGUUUAACAAAAAUUAAAUAUUUGAGAGUAAAUACAAAUCUGUAUUUGAGAAUAAAUAUUUGUGAUAAAAUAAAUGUUUGAAAGUAAAAUACAUGUAAAGAACUGGUACUUUAAAUAGACAAUACGUAUUUGCCUAUAAACUACGCUCGUUAAAGUUUAUUAAUUGUUAAUUAAUUUGUAAUACUUUGCCAUUCAUUGGACAUGUGGCACAAAGGACAAAUCAGGUACAAAAUUCAAAUUUCACUUUCUAAAAUAAUAUUUUAAUCAUUUAGACUGAAUUUGUAAAGGAUUAAUAACCUCAGGGGAGGUCAGUGUAAUUGUUCAAACCACAGGGAAGGCAAGUGUAAAUGUCAGAAACCUCAGGGGAGAUUUCUGAAAUUAUCCCUUUAAUUUACUCAAACUCAGUUCGAUAAGAGUUCGAUUCAAUAAAUAAACAUAUCAAGUUUAAACAUAAUAUUCUUUCUUUGAGGAGAGAUUGAACAUAAUUUCAAGUUAAAUAAUAAUAAACAAAUAAGCUUGAACUCUUUCACUUCAGAUCAGUAAUGUAAAUGAUUUUAAUUAAAUCAAACACUUUUUUUUUUUUUUAAAUCGUUUACGCCACUUAUCUUAAGUGGAUACUACUAAAGCUAUUGGCAGUGGGCUGACUGUGAUGAUUUUUCUCACGCAAGCAAUUAUAUAAUAGCCCAUAGCAGUUAGCAUACACAAAAUUGGUCAAUUUGAAUUCCAAACAGACACAAAAUAAGCCCAGCAUAGUAAAUCGCCCAUAACCCCACAACAAGCUCUAUUAGGCUGACCACUGAUCCACUGCCAAAUUGCCACCUAACACAACUUAGCUCCGCUCUGCCCCCUGCGCAAAAACUCGGGGGUAAAAAAAAACCGCCACAACUCCGGCACCGUACGAUGAGCAGCAAAGCCCGUAAUUUCCGCCGCCGCGGCGGAGAUGACGCUGACGACGACGAAGACAACGACAAGAGUACCAGAACCCCCACCACCAACGGCUCCACCACCACAUCAUCAAAACCCCAAUUCAAAUCCAUUUCCUCCGCCACAAGACCUAAAAAACCGGUAACUGCAGUUCCCAAAAGCCGCCUGAGCUUCGCUGACGAUGAGGAAGCCGACGCCGACCAAUUGCCCAUUAAACCUCGUCCCUCUUCAUCAAACUCUCGUCUCCCCAGACCCUCUUCUUCUUCCUCUUCUCAUCAUAAGCUCAGCUCGUCUAAAGACCGAAUUGGGCCUCAAACGACGGCGUCGCUACCUUCCAAUGUGCAACCCCAAGCUGGAACUUACACCAAAGAAGCCCUCCUUGAGCUCCAGAAGAACACUAGAACCCUCGCCUCUUCCCGUUCAGCCCGGCCCGAACCUCCCAAAUCGAAGCCCGAAGUGACGCCCACUGAGCCCGUUAUCGUAUUGAAAGGGCUAGUGAAGCCAAAACCUAAUAUGGUUGAUGAUGCAGAUGGGGAAAUCGAGAAUGACGAGAUGGGUGUUGAGCAGCAAGGCGAUUUGGUGAGAACUGAGAGAGAUGAGGCAAAGUUUAGAUUGGGUUUGAGAGGGAAAAGUGAGGUUUCUGGGGGAGUCAUACCAGACCAGGCGACAAUAGACGCGAUAAGGGCAAAAAGAGAGAGGCUCAGGCAGGCAGGUCCCGCAGCCCAGGAUUAUAUAUCAUUGGAUGGAGGAAGUAAUCACGGUGAAGCCGAGGGGUUGAGCGAUGAGGAGCCAGAAUUUCGAGGGAGAAUCGGGUUUUUUGGAGCAAAAAUUGAUGGUGGGAAGAAGGGCGUGUUUGAGGAUUUUGAGGAGAGAGUAACGGCAAAGGAUAGCGCUGUUCUUAAUAGCGAUGAUGAGGAUGAGGAAGAAUUGGAAAAGUUGUGGGAAGAGGAGCAGGCAAGGAAAGGUUUGGGAUUAGGAAAGAGGCUAGAUGAUGGCGUUAGUGUAGGAGUCAGUAGUAGUACUGCUGGUGGUAGUAGUGUUAAUGUGCCUCAGAGUGUCCCUCAGCAGAAAUUUGGUUAUCCAAUCGUGGCCUCUGGUAGUGUAUAUUCUUCAGUGCAGAUUAGUUCUGUUGAUACUGUUGGUCCUAGUAUUGGGGGUGCUGUUGGGGGAUUGCCUGGAUCAGAUGAAAUGCCGAUAUCACAAAAAGCUGAGCUCGCUAAGAAAGUUUUGUAUGACAAUGUGAAGAUGCUUAAGGUAUGCAUUGGCAUUUAUUCCUAGUGUUUGUUUUGAAAUUUGAUUACUUAUUCUUUGUUUUAUAAGUUUAAGUAGGAUUUCUUCUGGAAAUACAGCAUUAUCAGUUUAAGUUGUAAAUUAGCUGUGAGAUUACCAUUGCAAGUAGAAAAACAAGAAUUACUGGAUAAAGCAUUUAAUUAAUAGUUUUCUGCUUCUGUCUUGACCAGUAUUAAUUUGGACAUUUAGAAGGUAUUUGAGUUUAAUACCAAUAUGUUGCUCUGAAGAAAAUGUUCAUUGGUGUUUACAAGUUUUAUUUUCUUCCCUCUGUUUAUGUAGUGAUUGCAACUGAUCUGUUAUUGUCUUUUGACUUAUCUUUUUCUUAGGAGUCUCAUAAGAAAACAAUGGAUACAUUAACAAGGAAUGAUGAAAAUCUAUCCGCUUCACUGUUGAAUGUCACCAAGCUGGAAAAUUCAUUAUCUGCUGCUGGUGAGAAGUUCAUCUUUAUGCAAAAGCUUCGUGAGUUUGUUUCUGUUAUAUGUGACUUUUUGCAGGUACGGAUUAUCUGAUUUAUCAAUCUCCAAUUUAUUUUGGUGCCCUCCAUAGUUGCCAAAUCUUAACGUGAUAGAUCAAUUAUGUUGUUCUCUUUAUUUGUUUUGCUACUGUCACUGAGCAUAAGUGACUGAAAGUAUGGAGAAUCUGUUGUCCUAACACCCCCCAUCUUUAUUUUUCGGUAUAUGUUAAAUCCUGUUGUUAGUUAUUAGGAGCUUUGAGGUUAUAACUACUUAGAUUGCUUCACUUCAGCCAUCUUUAGCUUCUCUUCCAAUUUUUCUGUCACUGUAUAGAUCCAAGUAGGUUUUGGUACUGAAGGAUCUAUAAAUAUUGUUAUUUUGGAGUUCUUAACUCAUAUGUUGGUUUACUGCUUUGAAUCAUGUUGUUUAACGUGCUACUUUUGUAAUUUUGAAGAUAAUUUUAUCAAUUUUGGAACUUUCAGAUUUUCUAGUGUCUUUUACAUGUAUGCUCUGUUAGUUGACGUAUAUUUAGUUCUUUUCUUUAUCAUCUAUCAAUUAAGACGAUGUAGAUGAGGUUGCGUUCUUCUCAUGGCAGUACAUGCUAUUUUUUCUCUUUCUAAAUUCAGGCGGAAUUAUGAACUGAGGUUCAUAAUAUUUAGGGCAGCAAUUGUGGAAGAGUUGGUUAUAUAGGUUGUCUUGUCUCCUUUAGUGUGAUGAUGAGCAUGAAAGUGGCAUAUAGAGAAUUAUUCUUUUUCAAAGAAUGUCUCAGGGACCCAUCUGAUGGUUUUUUUGACUGCUUAAAUUUUGAUGAUUCUGGGUGUCAAUUGUAUAUUCACCUCUUUCCUCAUUUAGUUUCAAUUUUCUUCUGUUGGCUUUGGAUAAUGUUCUCCUGUUUGGUAUCAUUGCCAUUGUGGAUUAUCUGCUGUUGUAGUGCUCCUCGUGCUCCCAAUAUUCAUGCAUACAUAUUCCUCCUCACUUUGAGCAGCAAUACAGACACUACUGCUUGCUUGUGAAUGAAGUCAUUGUGCAAUACAUAGAUAGAAGAAAGUUUUUUGAUCCUCAGUUGUUUUUCUCAAGUUGAAGAAUAUCUUCAUCUGUGCUAUAUUGUUAUUUUGUGAGUGAGCUGUGUGGAUUCAUACUGGAUGUAAAUUUGAGACUUCUCUUUUGGUUUAUGUGCUAUUCACUCUGUUGCAUUUUAUACGUCACUAUUUUGGUUUGUGUCAAAAAAGUUUCAAGAAAGUAUAUAAAGCCUAACUUGACCCUUUAUACAAAUCCUAAGAAAUAAUCGUAGGAGGCAUGUUGCCAUGAUAAAUAACAUUACAAACCAUCUCUUAACUAUGGUAGUUGUGCCUCAUGUAAAACUUCAAAUUCAACUAACAAAAUAUUGUUGUUCAAUUGAUGGGCAAUAAUGGGAACAGUUGCUUUGCUAGCUGAUGUAUUUUUGUCAUACUCUACUUUUCUUAAGUAUGCACAAAGUUGUCAAUGACAUAUAAUGUGGGUUGGAGAAGAAUUCUGUGGAUACUCUAGGGUUUUCUGGUUUAACAUCUUGCCCUUGCCCUGGUUACAUGUAGGAGUUUCCAUUACUUUCCUUGAAGGGCUUUGAGCAUUUUGUUUGGCUGUUUUCAUCUUUUGUUUCUUGUUCUUGGUCUACUCUGCUAGAUAGUGUUUUCUAAAUGUAACAUUAAUGUAAUUUUGAUCUGAUAUUAAUCUUGCUCUUUGCAGCAUAAGGCUCCUUUCAUUGAAGAACUUGAAGAUCAGAUGCAGAAGCUACACGAAGAAAGAGCAGCUGCAAUUCUAGAAAGAAGAAUCGCUGAUAAUAACGAUGAAAUGAAGGAAUUAGAACCAGCUGUGAGUGCAGCAAUGUCUGUUUUUCGUAAAGGUGGAAGCAGUGCAGCAAUGAUAGAAUCAGCUAUAAGUGCUGCUCAGGCUGCAUCUGCAGCUGCAAGAGAAUUAAGAGACUUACCUGUGGAGCUAGAUGAACUUGGCAGAGAUUUGAAUCUGCAGAAACGAAUGGAUUUAGCUAGGAGGGCAGAGGCUCGACAAUACAGGAAAGCUAAGUCAGAUUCAAAGAGAUUGUUGUCCAUGGAAAUUGACAGUCCUAAUCGGCCAAUGGAAGGGGAAUCAAGUACUGAUGAAAGUGACAGUGAGAGUACAGCUUAUCAGUCAAGUCGUAAUCAGUUGCUUCAGAUUUCUGAACAGAUCUUCAGUGAUGCAGCUGACGAUUAUGCUCAACUUUCAGCAGUUGUAGAAAGGUUUGAGAGAUGGAAAAAGGAGUAUGCUUCAAGCUACCGUGAUGCUUAUAUGUCACUAAGUGCGCCUACUAUUUUCACUCCUUAUGUAAGGCUUGAGCUUCUAAAGUGGGAUCCACUUCAUGAGGAUUCAGACUUUAUUCAUAUGAAAUGGUAUGGAGCGUCCAGUUGAAAUUUGGCUGUACAAUUUGAGCAACACUUUGAUUAAAUGCCUUUUUGUUUCAUGAUUCACUCUAAAAUAUUUUGCUGACUCCUGGCAAGGUUAAGGCCUCUGGGACCAGCACAAUUGUGCAGCCUCUUGCUUCUUCUUCUUCUUCUUUCUUUAUUAUUUUAUUCUGGCCUUCUUUGUUUACCCUUUUUUCCGUGAAUCAUGUCAUUUCAUUUAUACAUUAUUUUUAUCACUAAAAUUUUUUUUUUCUUGGGUCAACGAUGAAAAAAUUUUAAACAAACAAAAUCCUGUUACAAAUUAGCCAAACCAUGAUAAUGUAACUUAUAGAUGUGUUCUUAUUUUUCUGUUAGAUGUAGUACUUUCAUAUCGUGGAACUUGAAUGUCCAGUAACUAUUCUUUUUGGUGGAUUUGCUGGUCAACUGAAUCAAAUUACCUCGAGGUUGAAAAUUUUUUCUUGGCUUGACCCGCAUGGUUGCAACUGUAGUAGCUUUCUAGCUUCAAAUAUACAGUGGCUGUUGUCUGUAAUUCUGCUGUCCACUUCUAGAGCAGGGCAAUAAUUUUAGUGGGGGUUGUCUCUUUUAAAUGCUCGUAUCAUUUAAACAAGCAUGGUGGAAAUUUUUUGUGAGCUUGAUGAUUUCUACCAGUUAGCCAUGGUUAGGUAGACCACUGAAUGCAGAGAUAAAAGAGUAUGAGAUUAUUGACUUCACUUUUGUUGUAACGUGCUAAUGAAAGAGAAUGAGAUCUUUUUGUUUUGGCUUUUUUUUUUUUUUUUUUAUGAUGCUGAGUCUAUCAUCUCUCCUACUUUCAGGCACUCCUUGUUAUUUGAUUAUGGUCCAGAAGAUGAUGCUGACGCCAACCUUAUUCCGGAACUAGUAGAGAAACUGGCAAUUCCAAUUUUGCAUCACCAGUUAGUAUACUGCUGGGACAUGCUUAGUACACGUGAAACAGAGUACGCUGUUUCUGCUACAAACUUGGUCUUAGGAUAUGUUCCUCCAUCCAGUUUGGCACUUGGGAACUUAGUAGCUGCACUUCGAGACCGCCUGGCUGAUGCUGUGACCAAUUUGAUGGUAUUUCUUAUCUCCUUUUUGGAUUAUCAUUUGCAGAGUAUAUCAACUAGUACUUGUCUUUCCUUAAAUAUUAUAUUCUUACUAAAAGGAUAUAAGUUUAUAGGUGCCAACGUGGAACACACUUGUAUUAAAAGCUGUACCAAACGCGGCAAGAGCUGCAGCGUACAGAUUUGGUGUGUCUGUUCGUUUGAUGAAGAACAUAUGUCGAUGGCAUAAGGUUCUUGCAAGGCCAGUAUUGGAAAAGCUUGCUCUGGAUGAACUGUUAAUUGGCAAGAUUCUUCCUCAUCUUCGAAGCAUUGAAUCAAACAUUCACGAUGCAGUUACAAGAACAGAGAGAGUUGUUGCCUCCUUAGAUGGGGUCUGGGCUGGUCCAAGUGUUACUGGGGAUCGCAGGUACUUGUUUCUUCAAGUGAAAAGUGUCAUUCUCUUGGUUUAAAAUGGAAGUAUGUCUAAGAUGCUACUGAAGAAUUGUGAAAGAAGCUUUUAAGUUAAAUUUUCAAGUUUUACCAAAUCUUAGGAUCACAGAAAAAUAAUUCUUAAAGUUGAGUUUGCUUUUGAGAUAGCAUCUUUGCUUGAUCUCACUUGCUAUUUGGUCAGGCACGAUUGCAAAAAUAUGAUUUACAUAUUUAUCCUUGCCACUACAAACAAUACAGACCUACAUGCUCCUCCUGUAUCAAGCCUGAAAUUAAGGUGGAUUUAGAAAAUACAAUAGAUAAAGGGAAAAGUGGGGAAACAUAGUUGCCAGUUUGCUUGGGUUUUGUAGUGGCUUAGUAUGUGGGCAAUUGCCUCUCUCUAUAUACAGCAUUCACUAAGUGUAUAAAUUGUAGCAAAACUUUCUGUUUGUGCUGAAGUGACAUAUUUCAGAGGGACAGAUGGUCUUACGUGGCAUGGGUAUUUAGUGUGUGGAGGAGGUAGAGAGGAAAAGUAGGGAAGUUUGGUAAGAGAUGAAAGCCUUGUGAAAUGCUAAGCCAGGAAAAGCCCUGUGUUCAAGCAUAUAAAAGAAAGUUAACUUUAUGGGCUAAUAUCUGUAUCUGGAUGGUUUCAUCUCAUGAGGACCCUUCUGAGUCAAUCCUUUUAAUGAAAAUGAUUAGAGUUGGACAUGAUUCCAACUUGACAUUCAAAACUCUCUGAAUGCUCACCCUAAAUUGUCCAGUGCAACCUUGAGGUUCAAGGUCAUUCAUUCAUUAAAAUGUUUUUUUUUUUUUUGGGAUACUAUGUUGCCAGUUAUUUAGUUCUCUAUUUAUUGCAUGUGGUACGCGCAUCUUUUUCUCCAUGGCUUUCAAUAGCAUGUGGCUUUCAAUGGCAUGUUGCAUGUAAAUUAGUGAUGAAUUUUUGAAGGCCUUGCGUUGUCACCUGACUAAUUUCCUUUGCCCCAUGAUACAAGUCAGCAAUGGACUGUUACCCUACUUCUCAUAUGAGUAAACUCACUGUAUCCUCACUAUGCUUGUAGCCCAAAACUGCUGCCACUGGUGGAAUUUUUGCUAUCACUUGGAAGGACGCUGGAGAAGAGGCAUGUUUCUGGUGGGAUUCAGACAGAAACUGCUAAACUUGCUCGCCGAUUGAAGAAGAUGCUUGUGGAGCUAAAUGAGUACGACCAAGCUAGGGCAAUAUUAAGAACCUUUAGUCUCAAGGAGGCGUUGUGACUCCCUUAUCUCCGAUGUCUAAUUGUCCCUCUUGCUCCUCCUCUGUCUAAUGGUUCCCCCUUGCUUGUACAUUUAAUGGUUUCAAGGACUUGGGGAGCUAACAUCAGCUCUUGCUUAGGAAAGUUCAUAAAGCACAAUUUUGAAAAGAAUGAGAUUCCUUGAUACACCGAGUUAGCAUAGUCUUUGAAUUAGAUGCCCUUGGCCCCCCCUCUGGUGGCCCAGGUAAUGCAUUUUGUGUUACGUUAGCUUAUGUUUUGCUUCGAGCUGAGGCUCUGGUGCCCCCUCUCUUCUCCAUCAGUAUGAAAACCCUAUGAAUUAUUGGUUUCGUGUUAUAGUCACGGAGAAACCAAAAGAUGAGCUCUUAUCAAGAACCCCAAUUCCGGCCCCUUUCGAUUCGUCGUCUUUCUAUCAAGAUCCAUAUGAAGUAUCGAUUUCACGUUUUGUCUGGACAUGGAAGGCCUUUUCUUUUCUCGUGUAUUCUAAUGAGAAUGCAGCCCUUGUAACUUUGUUUUUAAGGUUCGGCAACUGGAACUUUUUGGUGGCUCUUGCGGAUUGUUUGGUUAAUUAGCAGAUUUAUGUUUGUUUUUUUUUUGGGUUUUUGGGGGUUGGGGGUCAUAAUAAACUUCCGUUUUGAGCUGUCUUUUAGAAAAGAUUAGGCCUGACGGUCCCAGCUCUAACUUCUAGUUGAAUGUCAAACUUUGUGUUUCCAUUUAGUAUUGGGAUCCCAGAAAGGCUUUGAUUUCAGAGGAGGCCAAACAUGCUGCCGAAAGCCCCACUUUGAAUAUCAUGUGGAAGUUGGAAUUCAACUACUACUACAACUAAAAUGGAUCACCUUUUGGGACAAAUGAGAUUAGUUUAGCUUUCACAUUAGGAUACUUCUGCAGUCGUAGAAAAUUCAUGUUCAAUUAUCUUUGGUCCACCAAACCUGUAGCAAAUCGCUUGCUAAUCUAUUAAUAAAAGAACCAGUCAACUGCUUUGUAUAUGAGUAGGUUUAACCACGACUGCAGGAACCAAUACCUAAAUGACCUACUAUGUUGGUUGAGAUGCAAAUACGAAGUAUAGACUCAUGCAUGCAGGACAUGGAGCUUCUUUUUUCGGAGAACCUACUUUAAUUUGGGUAUUAAUGCAGUAUAUUCGAGUGAAACUGAAUUCAAUUGAUUAGUCAUUGCAUUUACCAUAAUGUUUUGGAAUAUGGGUCGCAAAAUCAUUUGAGAUUUGUGCUAACCAUUUCAGGAAAAAGAAAAACAAAAUGAUACCCUGGUUAACUUGAAGCUGAAAAGUUGAGAUGCCAUCUAAGUUUGGGGAAUUGGGAGUUGAAGUUCAAAAACUCUAUCGACUUUUUUAUGCAAACAAAUUAUUAUUAGUAGUAUAACUUCGUGGUUUCUUAUUUAGUGCAUCCAAAACAGAAGUAAAAAUUUUGCUGGAAAACGAACCUAUAGGCUGUAACUGAAGUCGUUUGGUAAAUUUUUCAUAUUAUGCACAAAAGUAGAGGCAAUUCUUGAGUCCUACGUAAUUUUACGAGGGAACUGCUGAGUGUUGACUACAACAGGUGCUGUCUUAUUUUGUGGGCUUUCGAAUUUCGAUGCGGGUUAUACUCUGUAAUAUUUGGAGUUAAAUGCGGACCAGAGCUGGCGAAAAUUAAAACUCACGCCUACCAAUGCAUUACGAAUUUUGGCCAUGACAAUUUAUGGACGCUCAGCGUUUAAGUCAAACGCGAAUGUGUGUAACUGAUGAAAGAAAUUUGUGUCAAAUUUUUUGAAAAUAUCGAAAAUUAUUUUCAAGAGAAAUUAUAAUAGUAAACAUACAGAAAAUUCACUAAAAUAAAAUGUAAAAAUAAAUAAUUAUUUGGUAGUAAUUCAUAAUCACAAUUGAUAAUUGCUAAUAAAAGUUAAGGUAUAUUAAAUAAGUUGAAAAAUAAAAUAAUAAGAAAUACAUAUUAAUUGGAGGAAAGAUAUAUUGAAACUUGGGAGUGGAUAGUUUUCAAGGGUAAUUUAGAAAGAACAUAAAAUGACACAAAGAAGUUUAUACUAACCCCCUCCUUUCUCUUUGUACAUAAAAUAGAUGAUGGGAAGGUUUGUAAAAGUAAUAUAUAAAAAGAAAGUGAAUAUUGUGCCUCACUCAUCAAAUUGACUGCCUCUUUUCCUCGAAGAACAUAGGGGAAACACAUGGAAUUUACACCUACAAAUAAAGAUAUGAUGAAAUUACCAAAAAAAAAAAGUGAGUUUGAAGUAAAUAAAGUUGUAAACUACAGGAAGUGACAUGUUAAACUCUUUCGAGUGGUAACACAAUAAUAUGUUGAUAGUAGAAUGGUCCCUCCAAAAAGGGAAAAAGGUCGAAUGGUUGGUUGAUAUAUUUCCCACUAGGUGGGUGCUAAAUAAUUGUUAACAUGUACUAAAGGUAGCUGAUUAGAAGGGGAAGGGCAUCAAAGGGCGUUCCCUAGUUAGACCAUGUAAACUUGGAUUGAGAUUGAGAACCGAAAUGUUUCGUUGUUUCGAGUUACAUGUAAUUGAUAUAGCACUGAGGGAAGUAGCGCAACAGAUCUUCUGUUUCACUCUAUGUUCUCAAGAUUCAAUCACUAUUAAUCGAGUAAAAAAGAAUUAAAAAUAUGAUGUUUAUGAAGGAAAAAUAUCAAUAUAAUAAAAAGUGAGAUAGAAAGUGACAUAAGUGAGACAAAAGAUCUAUUGUAGUUAAAGGGUGUAAGUGAGAAGUAUUGAAUUCGAUCAUUUCUAUUUACGCCUAAAAAUUUUUUAAAAAAUUUAAAAAGUUUAAAAAAUUGACAUAGUAUUAGUUUUAGCUUUCGAAUUGCGACAAGUACAUAACUUCAAUUAACCAUUGUCCAAAACAACUAAGCUGGUGUUGUUCGGUAAAACAAAUCGAAGUGUAACUACUCACGUAGUUGCAUUAUUACACCAUUGCUAGUUACAAAAUAUAAAUAGUGUUUUGAUAAGAAAUUAGUUGAAAUAAUUAUUGUAAUAUUUUUUAUGAUAUGAUGUAUGUGAGAUAAAAAGAUAAUUAAAAAAAUAAAAAAAAACAUGUUAAAAAUUGUGUUUCUGAUGCAAAUAAACAACUUUUUGCGAGAUCUAAUCUACUUGCAUGGACAAGCAAAUAAAAUGUAAUUGUACAAACAAUUUCUCGUGUUAUGAUAAAAACAUAAUAAUAAUUGAAGACAUUUGUUGGAUUCUCCUAUCUUCACCGGUAUGCAAAUGUGGGCCACAACACUAGAAUCUAGAAUUCCAUCCAAAUCCAACAAAAAUGUUGGCCUAACUCUUUCCACAAGUCUCCACUCUCCAUGUCAAGGACAGUCUACCCUCUCACGAGAAUAUUUAUUCAGAUAAAGGACAUGCCAAUUACAACUUAAAUAGAAGGCCUGUCAAAACUAAAUGAAUGUUAGCCCUCACCAACAAAAUCAAUUUGACUUUUAUCCCCAAAACUGAGAAAACAUAGCCCAACACGAGAAUUUUUUAAGCACAUACAUGUGGGAUUUUUUGAAGCACUUGCUAUUACGCUUAAAUUAUUAUAUGAAUGCUCCUUUUCUCUCAAAUUGCAAAACAACGUUUCUAUAAUUUGUUCAAGUUCAAAAAUCAUAACCUGUGAAAUGGGAUUGCUAUUUUUAGGAGUUUUUUUAAUAAAAAAAUGUAAUGUAAAAAUUUGAUGUAUAUGAGGUAAAAAAAAUAAUAAAAAAUAUAUUCACAGAAAACAUAAUUUUUUUUUUACUAAAAAUCACAAUCCAAACAAGGCCAACAGAAUGGUUAAAUUCUGUUUAUUUCUACUACAUAGUUGAUCCAUGAUUGUAUUAGUAUCUACCUAUUAUAUAAGAAAAAAGCCAAGUUACUAUAGCACCCCAUCUUUUUGACACAUGUAUUGCAUAUAUUUUUGACAAGUGGAUUCUUGGUCAUUUUAGCUAAACUUUUCCUUCCCCUUUUUGAUUCAAUUGGGCCAAAAUAAUUAAAAUGUUUUUUCUCUGAGCCAAGUUACUAUAGCACCCCAUCUUUUUUACACAUGUAUUGCACAUAUUUUUGACAAGUGGAUUCUUGGUCAUUUUAGCUAAAUUUUUCCUUCCCUUUUUUGAUUCAAUUGGGCCAAAAUAAUUAAAAUAUUUUUUCUCCUUCAGAAAAUCAACUAUGUCGCUUCUUCUUCUUCUUGCGGUAAGUGCUAUUAUUUUUUAUUUUUUAAAACUAAUCUAACUAAAAUUGUUGCCAUGUUCUUUUUUUUUCGUCGAGAUGAUUAGCUACUUAACAAAGAGAAGUUUUUAUUAUUUUUUUAUCCCAUUUUACAUUUUCUUUUCUUCCUUUUUUUUCUUCAUGUCUAAUCUCUCAUAUUUGCUCUAUUCUUCGAUCAUAAUGUUAUAGUCAACUGGCAUUUGUUUGUUAAAUUUAUAGGAUGAUGCUAUUAUUUGGUAAUUUUCAUGGAUAAAAGGUGAAAUAUUAAAAUAUGUAAAAAGAUCUUAAAAUUCAUUUUAUACCAAUGAUCAUUUUCUAUGAAGAAUAGAACAAUAAUUCUUUCUUUUCUUAUCUCCUCCCACGAUUUGAUUUCUUACUUCACAUUUUUUUUUCUUUUUCUUUGUUUUUUGGUUACAUUUUGUAAUUAUCUACAAUUUUGUGUAUUUUUUAAAGAGAAAAGAUAUAUCAUGUGAUGCUUCCACCAAGAUAAAUCUAGUUAGGCAUUCUUCUACUUCUGUAUUCUAUAAGAUUUUGUAUAUAUUUAAACUAACGUUAAUUUUUAUUUUUUUUAAUUAUUCAGGUUAUGUAGUAUCAAUUGGGUUGGCAUAUAAAAAUUGUAGUUGGUGGUAGAAGUCAAAAUUAAAAAUUAUUAGAAAAUUCAAUUUUGAUUAGGAAGAUGUUUUUGCAAUAAAAAAAAUGGUUCAAUUCUAAUUUGUAUAUGUAGAUCUGGAAACGUAGCAAUUCAUAUUUUUUAUCUAACCUUGCUAUUUAUAUUCUGGAGCUGCAGGAUAAUGUUGUCACCUUUAAACGGGAUUUAAAUAAAUAAAGAAAGAAAAAUGUGAAACUUUAAAGUAAGUUAUAUUGAUGUUGAAGAUUGUGACAUGUCUUAGUGGCUUUCUAAACUUUUUCUCAUUAUUAAAAAACUGGAAGCAUUAUGAUUGCUUUUGAUUUAGUUACAACUAAGACUAUGCUGCUAAUUAAUACAGCAAUGCACUUGUAGUGUAUUGAUUUUCUCUUUUUUUUGGGUAUUAUCAUAAUAAUAGUUCAAAAAUCUUUAUUCAAAUCACAAUAAAUAGGGGUAUUAACUUCAUAGAUGGAAUUUCUCUUCACAACAAAUUUUGAGGGAAAUUUUAUUUAUACUCCAUAUUUUAUUAAUUGUAUUCCUACAAUAAAUAAAAACUAUAUGAUAAAAAUAAUAGUGAAAAUAUGAUUAACAAAAAUGAGAGUUCAAAUAACAUUUGUUAAUUUUAAUUGUUUUGAGGUCCAAUUUUCUCCUAUAUUUCUAUUGAUUUAUCAUGUGCCAAAAUAAUUUGAUGUUAUGUGCUUGAUUAUAUUUCUAGGGGCCAAGCUAUGCUUUGCAAGUACCUCUAGUGUACUAACUAAAAAGGUGGCCAAUUACACGACAGCUGCAGUGGGUUUGCUUCUCACAUUAUCACACGACAGCUGCAGGCUGCAGAAUGUGCAUACUCUUGCAUGGAUUAUAUGUGACAGCCCCACCUCACCCUAAGGCGAAACAAAGGGUUCAGCGGACCGCCUGCCCAGCUCUCGCCAGGAUUACGGAGUCGAAUCACACAAAUCCGAUAUUACGCGAGAGGACCCAAAAUAAAUGAGCGAUUGAAGACCGCCAAGCUUAAACAUGGGGAAAACGCUUUCAUAUAUACAUGUCACUAGGUUUACAAUUCAAAUGGAACCAGUGAAACGAAAUACAUUUAGGGUUUGCUCAUUCUCGAGGAGCUAUACAAAAGAACAAAAGAUUUUCUAACUAGCUCAACUCGCUUCUCAAAAUCAUGAUUUCCAAAAGAGGUUCCAGUAAGGAAAACAAAGAUAACGAGGAGGGGGUGAGCUUACGCCCAAUGAGGUACCAAACAUAUAGCAGAAAAAUCAGGUAUUUCACGUUAUACAAACCAGAUACACAUGCUCGCUAUAAAGUAAGACAGGUAAACACAAGAACUCAAAUAGGAAGGAUACAGGUGGCUCUCAGGAGCCAGCUUUCCAGCGUAGUACUUGAUCCAAGCCGGUCGACUCUCCAUCAACGUAUAUAGAACCAACACGUCCGUAGACCCCACUUUACACCAAAUUCCGUCCACCAAACACCCCUUUACCGGGCCCGCUCACCUCAACAGAAACAGAAAGGGUAAUACUCGAGUAUACCGGAAUCAAGAGUCUCAAUACCCAAAGAUCCCAAAACAGACUACCGUGGUUCGUUAUCUAAUCGUCCAGGCCCUUGCCGGCCCGACUCGAAUAACUUAGCCACAGGAUUUGAGCUCAUAAGUCACAGAAAGGUCGUUGGUUACAAGUUUCCAAACGACGUCCGAACAGAUACAGAUACAGAUACAGAUACAGAUAUCAGAUACACAGAUUCAGAUUGACACCAAAAUUGGCAUAUGAACAGACAAGAGAACGAGUGUGAUAAAGUACACCCUCGUCUCAAACAAAUUAAACAGAUUGCAGAGCAGAAAUCAAGUUAAACAGCAAUGGAGGGGAGUGGUACACUCACCGGUUCAAGUACAAAUACCUCAAAAGUUUUCACUUCGGAUUGGCUUUAAUCGCCAAGAAACCCUAAAAUAAUCAAAAUAAACCAAUUGAAGGUUUCACAUCCAGAAUCGAGUAAACAAAAUACACAUGUGAGGCUCGACUACUAGUCGUAUGCCUCGCCAAAUAAUUACUAAUGCAAGGGUACAAAACAUGAUUUUUGGGAAUAAAAAGGUAACAUGAAGACCUAGGUUCAACAACCCAAAAGUCCUUCAUUUCUAUCACAAGCCAAUUCAAACUUAAAGGAACCAAUUGGCCUAGAAAAAAUUGGACAGCACUUCCCCUAAAUUUCUUACUUUUCCAGCCAUCACGGCUUCAUUAUUUUCCUCAAUCAACUCCCAAAGUCAUACUCAAUAUACACUCAUCACCACAGCCGUUCAAUAGGCUCAAGGUUAUCCAAGUACAAAAGUUAGUUAGGAAAAUGACCGGAAAUAAAAGUCAAGCCCUAGAAUAUUCCACUAAGCACAAGAAGACUCGAUUACAAGUCAUAAACCGAUGCCAACACGAUCACAAUAGGGUUCCAUAAGCAUAUAUAAGCAUUAGAGGAAACCAGAAAUUUCGGAAAUGUAACUAGCUUUGGCCCUGAAAAAUAGUUUUUGUCCUCAUUUUGCGGUAAUGGCACAAAUUUCACUACGCUUAUCGGAUGAGGGUGCAAGACCACCACCAUCUCGAAGCUAAAAGACAGGGCUACAACAUCACAGAAGGUCACUCAACCCAGUUUUGAGUGCAAACAGGUCAAAAAUGCAAGAUACUACAUCAACAACGUAAAACAGAUUCACCAAAACGCAUUCUAGUGGAAACAUCAUAACUCAGGCUCUACAAGUCCAAAUCCAGAAAUUCCAAAACCAUCUGAAAGCUAAGCAACAGGGAUAAAUUUCAUCAGAAGGUCUCAACAACCAAUUCGGAAGCAAUUCCAGGAAAAACAACCAAUUACAGGCGCAGUUCUCAAUUUCGGGUAAAACCAGAACAGCAAUAGUAAUUUCGACUUAUCUCAUUCUACUCUACUCCGAUUGACCUGAAAUUUUGUAGGAACCUCUAAAAUGUCAUUCCCUACAACUUUCAUGUUUUGAGCUAAGGCCAAUUCGGCCUCUAUCUAGGACCUAAAAAUUCGGACAGAAUGCUCCCACAAGAACCCUAAUUUUCUGAAAUUUCUUCCAAAACAGAAAUUGAUUGCAAUUGUCCACUUUUUUCACCUUCUAGAAUCAUUAUAUACCAUUUCCAAUCAUCAUAGAUAGCCACACAAUCAUGCUUAUAUUAAAACAGAAAAAUCCCCAAAAAUAAUAAAACUUCAUCAUUUCAACCACAAAUCAAAAAUUAAUCCAUAAACUUGCAUCUUAUACUACCACUAAGCAUGAUUUAAGCAUCAAUUAAAGGAGGAGGGUGGUUCUUCACAACUUACCUUAGAAACAAGAGAGAGAGAGCUAUUGGUCACCUUAACUUUCCAAAAAACUUCACACAACAACUCACCAACACUUCCUUAAGUGGUUUUAUGGAGCAAAAUCAAGGUUGGAUGGUUGGUUUUGGUGAUUUGGAACAAGAUUGAAGUGUUUUCUUCCUUGUGCUUGGAGUAAGAGAGAGAGAGAAAGAGAGCAAGAGAGGGCCGACUUCAAGGAGGAUUUUUUUGAGGAUUUUUGGGUCAAUUUUGGUUAUUUAAGUCAAUGGUAAGAAAGGUUUUAAGGUAAGCCCAAUCAAAUGGUGACACUUGUCACCUUUUAUUAACUCUCUACCUAACUUGUCUCUCUCAUAUCAAUCCAAAUUGCACCCUCCACUUAUCUCUUAACACCCGGUAAAUUCAUUCAAGUAUUCAAAACUUAAUCUAGUUGGCCGAAUUUUUCCGAACUUUUCGCACUAGUGGGUCCCACGUCCGAUAUACGCUUUUAAUUCCUCAAAAGCUAACCGAUACUAGAAAAAUCAUUUAAAAGCUAUAUUUACUCAUAAAAUUUAUUUGCACAAUGUUUCGAAUAAAGAAAAGGUGGAAAAACGUAUAAUUAAAAGAAAUUAAAACCUAGAAAUUAAGAAAAUUACGGGUCCUUACACUAUAUGCUUUGCAUGGACGGAAUAUAUAUAUAGUCUUAUUCUAUGACGGAAAAUCUAUGAAUUUCUGACCUGUACGAUAAGCAAAUGUGCGACACAGCACUAGAAUUUCAGCCAACAAAUGUCAUUCAGAUGAAGGACAUUCCACCAUACGAGUUUCAACCGCAUGUUUAUACCAUCAAAAUUCGAUCCACAACUUUACUGAUGCAGUGCAUGAUCGAGUGUACGAGUAUCCUUAUCUUAUGUAGCUGUAUGGCCUGCUUCACCAUGGUUUCAAUACAAAUUUCUAGUAAAUUACACGCCAAUACGAUCAUAAUUGGAUGGUAGUGUAAUAUCUACUAUAUGGUUAUCAUUUGAUGAUAGUCGGUUCAGAUUUCUAUCAUAUUCUUUUGGACUAUUAAUCUAUGAUUAAAUUUUAUAUACAUUAAACUGACAAUAUUUACACUAUCAUAAUUAGAUGUAUGAUACAUAUAUGCAAAAUUUGAAUUAUAUGUCAUGCAUCAUGUGGUGAAAUUGUAUACACUGUCAGUCUAUAGAAGAUUAAUCCUUAAUUUAUUACGAACAUUUUUCUUAAAAUUUUUGGUUGGUAAAAGUCAUUACUUACACAAAAUUUGACCAAGGGAUCUCGAGACUUCUUAGUUGCAGUUACAACCACAAAGUACAAGAGCUUGUUUAAAUUGUUAUUUUUUGAAAUUUUUAUAGAAAAAUAUAAUAUUAUAACAAUUUGAUGUAUGUAAAGUAAAAUGACAAGUAUUUAAAAAAUAUGUUUAUGAAAAGUGUAAAACUGAAAAAUGCUAAUUCAAACGAGGCUAUUGAGCUAAAAUGAUGAUAAAGACGGUAAGCUUGUCUACCAUCACAAUUUUAGCACAUAGAGGUUAGAAGAGUUGGUGCAUAUAGUCCUUGCAACCCUAAUUAGGUGGGUAAAUCAAGACCUAGGCUGCGGUUUUGGUUAGGUCAAAAUUAACACAACCAUUGACCUCCUGAAAUUAAUUGCUUUUUGAGGAUUUGAUGAACUAAUAUUAAGUUUGCAACGAAACCUGUUUCAGUCAUUCGUUGAUCCCAGCUGCCCCACCAGACCUCCACUUUCCCAUCCACACUUCCCCUACCAAUAGGAUUACACCUUUCCUUUCACGAGCUCAUUCUGCUGCUCUCAGCAUUCAUUCUUUCAUCCCGUGAAUCGCGACGCAUAAAGAAAUAUCAUGACCGUCAGUUUCGGUGACUGAAGAAAGGAAAGGAAAGAGAAGUUUAAUCCGAACGGUGGAUGGGCGGCGGCUACAAAGUUUUACCCGUGAAACCACCACCACGAGAUCUCCGCCCCCUCUCAUAAAGAAUCACAGGAGCAGAGACGCGGCUUUCCAGCCUGGACUCCUUUCAAUUUAUUCCAUCGCUGUCACCUAUCUCGAUCAAUCCAUGGUCCCACCUUGGCUUUCAAAAUUGCAUACAACCCGGUAUACGUCUAGGCCCUGUAAAUACCUAAGCUACCCUUUCACGAAUUUUUAAAAUUUUUUUCUUUUCUUUUAAUUAUUUAAACUUUUUUUUUUUAUGCUUCAAAAGGAUUGUGGGUUAGUAGGAAGUAAAUCAUCCAAAAACUCUCACCGUACUAAGAAAGCAAAAUAUUAUCCGAAAAUGUUCAAAAUUUAGGUGUUGUUUAAAGAUUGGUUCUUGAUAAUUGCAAUUAUCUUCCAUUCUUAUCCAUUAACCAAAAUGUUAAUGGAACUUUCGUACUACAAUGUCUUAACAAAAAUAUUUCUUAUCUAAAUUUGUAACUGACUACUUGGUCACGCUAGCUACAUCAAUAAAGAUUUUCACCAAAUUCUCACAAUCAAAUGCUCGUAUGAAUGCCAAAGGUCUUUAUUAUUUUGUUAGAUAGGACGAGCUACUCAUAUAUUGACCAUGUAAAUGUAUUGAUCAUGUAACUGAAUGUUAUUCCUUAUAUAACAUUUGUUAUGAGGCAAGGUUUUAGGCCCCUCUUCUAUUUAAUAAAUUAAUUAAUGGUUACCAUCCUUAUUUCAUGUAUGACAUUUUAUCAAAUAAAAAAAAACUUAUAUUUUAUUUCUCAACUUUUGUUCCUUUGGCUUCUAUAUCAGAUUAAAUAUUGGAUGUAACGCAAUUCUCUUGGAUACUUUUCGCCUAUUACUACUUCGGCUUCUACCUUUUGUUGAGCUUUUCACUAUUGGUUUCUAAUUAUCUUGUAUAAUACUUGUUCCACUUCUGCCAACAAAACUAAAAAAAGAAUGUCAACUAUUUGCAUAAAAAAUCAUAUCAAGUUUGUUUACUCUAUCCGCACUUUGUUUUGUACCGUAUUUGAAGCCAAAUGUGAUUGAAUUUUUAUUUUACUCCUGAUUUUUCUAUCAAAGAUAUGUUUAUAAUUCAUUUAACAAGCUCACAUGAGGUGGCAAAAUGACUUAAAAUGUUUAUUAAAUAAAUACAUAUACUAGCAUAAGAUUGAGGCAAAUGAUUUAUUCGAGAACCCUUUUAAAAAAAAAAAAAUUUUUUUUUCACAGCAAAUCUCUAGCAAAAUAACAAUUGUAUCCUUCAAUAUUCAAAAGUUGAAUGCACUUUGAAAAGAGUAAAAUUGUCAUUUCAAAGAAAUUAGCAAUGGCAUUAAAAACAUGGACUACGAUAUUAAAGCUAUCCUAAUUGACUGUCAUUAUAUGCUACAAUCAUUUUGUUGAUUGAUCUGCUAGUACAAGUAUUAGAGUAUCUAUAGUAGGAGAAUAAAUUCAUUCUCCACCUCAUUUACAAAUUCAAAAAAAAAAAAAAUCUAACCCGGGCUAAGAAGGUCAUUUCAUAUUGAUAUGUUUACUUUUCCAUUUAUUUUUUAUCCCCACACUUUCGUACUCGGACAGUUGGACUUCCAUACUCAUCCUCUUAUGACUUUAAUCUCUGAUCUCCCAUGACCACUCUCCCAAAACAGCCAAACUCCUCCAAUACCUCCUCUUCCCACCACCGCCAUCGCUCCCACAAUGCCACCUGACACCAGAACCACCGCACUCCUCCUCCUCACCAUCCUCCUCCUCCUCCUCAGCUCCCACACUCCCUCCACCGCAGACCUCCCGCAAUUUCGGGAAGCCCCAGCAUUCCGCAACGGCCAGCACUGCCCAAUCUCCACAUGGCCCUCCAACCCACACGACCCUUCCACCAUCCACGUCGCCAUGACACUUGACUACUCCACGCCAUACCUCCGUGGCUCCAUCGCCGCGGUCUUCUCAGUCCUCCAGCACUCCACCUGCCCAGAAAACACCUUCUUCCACUUCCUCACCACCACCCGCCACCGCCAUUUCCAAGGCCUCAACUCCACCAUCACCUCCACUUUCCCCUACCUCCGUUACCAUCUCUACCACUUCUCCCCCGCCUUAGUCAACCACCUCAUCUCCUCCUCCAUCCGCACCGCCCUCGACCAACCCUUGAAUUACGCCCGCAUUUACCUCGCCGACCUCCUUCCCUCCACCGUCAACCGCAUUAUAUACCUCGACUCUGACCUCAUCAUCAUCGAUGACAUCUCCAAGCUCUGGAAAAUCAAUCUCUCCGCGCAUAUUCUCGGCGCCCCCGAAUAUUGCCACGCAAAUUUCACCAACUAUUUCACUCCCAAAUUUUGGUCCAACAGAUAUGUCUCCAGCACUUUUAAUAACCGUGCCACAUGUUAUUUCAACACAGGGGUUAUGGUGAUGGAUUUAACGAAAUGGAGAACAAAUGGGUGCACGAGAAAACUGGAGCAUUGGAUGAGGAUUCAAAAGAAGUAUAGAAUUUAUGAGCUGGGCUCAUUGCCGCCGUUUUUGUUGGUUUUCGCCGGGAAUGUCGAGGGGGUUGAGCACAGAUGGAAUCAACAUGGACUCGGGGGGGAUAAUCUCGAAGGUUUGUGUAGAGAUUUGCAUCCGGGUCCCGUUAGUUUGCUGCAUUGGAGCGGAAAAGGGAAGCCGUGGUUGAGAUUGGACUCGAAGAAACCUUGUCCGUUGGAUAGCCUUUGGGCUCCGUACGAUUUGUUUAAACAUCGGCCAUUGAUCUCCGAUAGUUGAUGAUGCUGGUCGUAGGAGAUUGUUGCCCCGUGACCGUGAGUGAGUAAUUGGGAUGGAAACAGGUGAGGAGAGAAUGAAAAAGGAGAAAUGAGGACAGAACAGAUAGAUUUAUGGUGACGUGAGAGGAAGAAUACUUUUGGGGUUUUGGUGGAAUGUUGUGGCGGAGCUCUGGUGUGGUACUGUCGGUGGGUUUUUCUUGGCCGUCCGAUGUGAGAGAUCAGGACGGUAAGAUUUGGUGGUGGUGGUUUGGGAAUGAGGAUAUGAUGGGUGCAUUGUGAUGCUGGGUCCUAUUUUUUGGGAGUGGUUGGAUUCCAUGUUGCUAUCAGAGUUUGUUUUGUUUUCUUGGUGGCAGUGGAGGUGGAGGUGCUAAUUGAGUUUUUUUUUUUGUUUUUUUUUUUGUGUGUGUACAUGUUGUGCUACUUUUUAACCUACUACUACAACUACUACUUGUGGUUGGUUCUUUGAUUGUUUCUGAUGAUCAUAAUCAGAAUUGAGAGAAUUAUUCAUUAUUGAUUGAUGUUUGUGAUGGCGCAUUUCCCCUUUGCUUUCAUCCACUAGAGUGUCUGUUUGAUCUUAUCCUAGCAAGUAAAUAUGAUGAAAUUUGUUUUCUUGUGAAAGCAAUCAACGGAUAUGGGAAGGGACUACUGAUCAAUUGGCCAUUGGAUACCCCUUUGAAUAGCCUAAAAAUGAGCAAAUUCUAGUGGAGUUCAAUAGCAUCAGAAGACAUGUUAAAGGGACUGAAUCGAAACUCGAUAAAGCACUUAAUAAUGCUAUUGAUGAUCAUGAAAGUCUGGCAGCGCUCAGGUCAGGCAAGCUUUUAAUACGAUAUAUAUUUGUCGGCUACUGGCCGUGCAUAUUUCCAUGGUUUAUGAAGACCCAUCCAUUUUCGUGCCUGAUGCCUGCUGACUAGCAUCCGGAUUCCAGGGAAAAGGUGGAUUAACGAUUAAGAAGAGCUCGUCCGGAGUCAUGUUGAGUAACUUUCAACUUCAACUUUUUGAUUUUUUUUUUUAAAAAAAAAAAAACUCACAGGUUACAAUAGAGGAGGGGAAUCCCAUUUUACUCUUAUAAUGCGGACUAGAGCGAAAAAACUUCCAUCACAUAGUGGAAAAAAUUUCACUAUUGUAACGGAAGUAUUGGGCUCGCUCAAAGCAGCUUUUAUUGGGUCAUUCACCCCGAUCUUGAAAUAAUAGUUGUGCAAUUAGGUCCCCUUGCCCAACAUAAAACGCUGUUCAAGUUUGAUUUGAAUAGUUGGCAAAUCAAGUUCAAAUCAGUUGUUACCAAAUCGAGCUCGAUUCGAACGUCGAAUAGCUUAGUUCAUCUUUCGAUCCUAAUCAUGAAUAUCUUUUAUUAGUUUAAGAGCUCCGGAAAAAGGAAUAGGGGAGGACUUGAGAGUCAAAUUAGGCUUCUUUUUAUGUUGCUGGACCUUGGAACAUUUAAUCAUAGAUAUCAUUGAGUGUGAGUAUGUGAUGGACGCGGGAAAGAGAAGCAAUAGACAUAAAAUUAGGCAAAGCCUUGUGAUGUUCCUCGGUCACAACUUUGGAUAUGGACUGGACUUCAUGAGAAAAUGUGUCGGAUAAAAAAAUAACAUUCUUUUUUUUUUUUUUUUGGUCAAAAAGCAACCUAACAUUAUUCCCCAUUCUCCUAUGCUUCCUUUUGCAUUGUGUGGACUCUUGGGCCAAAAACUUAUCAAGCCAUUCUGUUUUCAGAUUGUUUCAGAGUCCAGGAGUGGAGCAGAAACCCAUACUGGGGAUAUUAACUGCGGCCAUCUGGCCCACUGAAUUGACCUACGUAUCAAUUGUGGCCUGUAUUGUUCACCACAUCCAUUGAUCGACCUACGUGUCAAUUGUGGCCUGUAUUUUUUGUAUUUCCCUCCACAAAAAAUACCUGAAAUAACUGUCCCUUUUGAGAAAAUAAAUACAAAAAACAAAAUAAAAAAAAAAAUCUAAGAAACGGACGACGCCAUGAAAGAAAGCAACAGAGCGCAGUCCUAGGCUAGCCUAAAAUUGCUGAAACAAAUCUUCAAACAUAACUCUGAUGAUUUCUUUUGUUUCCCAAGCAUAAUUUUAGGUACUAAAAUUCCUCAUAGAUCCUCGAAACAAUCAUGGCUACGGUUGCCACCAGUGGGGUUGGAUUAAGUGGAGCAAGACUCCAUGCUUUCAACUCCAGCAAACCAUUUUCUCCAUUUCUUGGGAAGAAGCUCAAGAUUAAACCAAUUUCUGAGUCAAUUCAUCCAACAAAGUUUAACCAUGCAAAAUCCAGGAAUCUUCUUGUUUUAGCAUCUGGGUGGAUUUAAUGAGCUUUGUCAACGAUCUUUUUGUUGGGGUUGGAGUUGGACUUCCAUGUACGGUCAUGGCGUGUGGUGAUAUAAUUUAUAGAAGUACACUUCCAAGCUCAAAUGGUCUCACAGUUACAGUUCCUGGGACGAUUUUAGCACUGGGUGCUUUGUCUUAUUUGUGGGCUACUCCUGGUGUUGCCCCUGGUUUUUUUGAUAUGUUUGUGCUUGCAUUUGUUGAAAGACUGAUUAGACCUACCUAUCGGAAGGUUAGUUGAUUGUCUGGUGAAUUUUUGAUUUUGUAAAGUUUUGAGGAUAAAAUCUUGGAAUUUGGAUAAUUUGAUUUUGUUUUGUGGUGGCAGGAAGAUUUUGUGCUUGGGAGAAAUUAGGUGAAGGGUCUUUUGGUGUGGUUUAUAGAGCUUCAUGGGCUAAAAAGCCCUCCCCAAAGGUAAAUAUUUGACAGGAACUUGCUAGUAUCAAAGUUUUGUUUAUUGUUUAUGUUAUUUCAGCCCUUUCGGAUUUUUUCCCCUUUAUGUGCUUUGCAUGUAUUAUAGGGAAUAUUGUUGAGGUUAUGCUGGUCCCUACUUGAACUUUGAUGGAAUAUUUUCUUCCAUUCUUUUGCUCAAAUGCUCAGACUUUAUAUAGAACCUAAUCACAUGUACAUGUAUCAAGUUUUUUCCAAACUUUUUGUCAAUCUGGAAUGAAUGUGUUAUUAGGCCACAGUUUGCAUUAAUAUUAGUGAUAAAGAUAUCUAGAAGGCAUGUUUGCUAAUUUCUAUUGGUAGCGAUCCUAAAAUAACAAUAGUUGCUAUUGGUUGUCACUCAAAGGGUGGAGAGUUAGUCUUGAAAAAGGCUACUGAAUAUGGAGCAGUGGAGAUAUGGAUGAAUGAACGUUGCGAAGGGCUUGUGCUAGUAGCUGUGCUGAUUUUGUGUAUGGCUUUCUCGAGGUGCUGCUCUCUUUGCCUAAUGUUGCUAAGUAUGAUUAUAGCAGAGAUAAUAAGACAGCUUCAAGCACAUAUCUAUAACUUUUGCAAAUUGGAUUCAUAGUUCUUCAAAGAAACAAGCUGAAUAUUGGCUUAUAUGGCGUUUUGACGGGGAAGCCACACUUGCUGAUUUAAUGCAAAGUAGGGAGUUUCCUUACAAUGUUGGUACCACUUCUGUCUCACCUUAAUUCUAAAUCUGUGAUGCAGAACAAAUCUCCUUGAUGGAAUUUUCAAGUAGAUAUAUUAUGAUGUGGAAAUCAUCUGUUCCAUAUGUUAUCCAUUUUGAACAUCACUAUGACUUAUUAUGUGUAUUUGCUUAGGUGCAUAUUAGACGUGCACAAUUCCAUGAAGGCUCACGGUAGCAUAUUUAAGGACAUAGCUGCUGGCCUAAAAAAGUGCCAACUCUUUCGUUUUGUAACUUAUAUAUUCAAUUCAUGACAUGAAUUAUAUGUAUUGUUACAUAAUGACGUAGGCCAACCAUUGGACCAUAGCUGUGCUUAUUGUUCCAUAGUGUAAAGCCCUAAGAUAAUAGGAUUUCCCUCCAAACAUAGCUGUGCUUAUUGUUCCAAAGUGGUAGAGUAACUGAUUCUUAAUAGAAACAAUAAUGUUGUAUUGUGAGGACAGAAGAGAAUAAAACUGUACUCUCUUCAGGAAAAAUUUCAUAGAGCUUGCCUGCCAAAAGGAAAAAGAUUAUAGUUGUCCAUAUUAUGAUGAACUGGUAGGCAAACAAAGAUAUCAUUGGUAGCUCUCCAGGUACAGAGUAACAACGGUGGCCACAAGAACUUCUCAAAGUGACAAUUGUGUUGUCAGGACCAGAAGGGUGUCAAAAUACUAGCUGAGAUUGGUUUCUAUUAAUAGUCUUUAGCCUCUAUCCCAAGCUUUCAGUGUUGAAGGUGAAUUUGGCUACCUUUAUGAGUGAAACAGUAGAAAUAGAUUUCUAGAACUGCAAGAAAGAAGAAGAUUUACAAAGAAAAUCAGGAAUUACUGAAACAAGGAGCACAGAAAAGAAAACUUGGAAAUUGAAUGAGAAGUCAAAUAUUUGUUCAACUGAAAAGAAAUGUUUGCUAGUAGGAAAAUUCUUGUCCAAGAAUUAAGAAUCCGUUGUCCAGAUUUCCCCUUCUGGCACUCAAAGGGUAGAGCCUGUAGAUUGACUGCUGAAACUAUGAAUCCUGACUAGACACACAAGAUUAAGAUGGUGACCUCUCCAGCUUUGCUUCAGUUAGAUGCUCUAGAUUAGAAACUGAUUCCUUUUUCACAUGGCAAAGUGCUUCAUGGGUGGAUUUCUGAGGUUGAAAACUUUUCCAGUAUAUCCAGGUCUUUGAGUCACUUUUGUUGUAAAAUAUGCCAAAUGAGUCCCCCCCUCCCCCUCUCCUGAAAAGAAGUCCUAGUUGUUUAUCUCCCUUUAACCUAUAUUAGCAAUAGGUUGAUCUAACUAUGGUUUUGUGUUCAUUAUCUUGUCUAAAGAAAAGGUCAAUGCUUUUGUACACUUUUUGCAAUGAGUUGCUGAGACGGUCUCUAUUGACAUAUAAGAUCAAAUUUACAUUUCUAGCCUCUUCUGCUAACCUUAAUGAAGUUUUCGCAAACUUAAAGGUGGAAGCACUGCUUCUGGGGAGGUUAACAACUUGCCUAAGGUCUAGAAAGGGAAAAUCAAAUUAUCCAGACUAUUUUGGGACGGAUCUUGUUUGCAUUAGAUGGUCUUCACUCAACCGGAAUUGUCCACAGAGAUAUUAAGCCACAGAACAUAAUUUUCUGAAGGUGACUGUUUUGUGCCAACCUUAUUAGCAGCUCGCUUAAACUCUCUCUCUAUUGUUUCUUUCAGUUUUUUUUCUUUUUCUUUUCAUUUUUCUUCAUUAAAUGUGAUGCAGGUUCUCGCACAUUCAAAAUCAUUGAUCUUGGAGCUGCUACAGAUUUAAGGGUGGGCAUCAAUUAUAUUCCUAAGGAGUUUCUGUUAGAUCCAAGGUAACUUUUCAGCUCAACAAAAAUAAUCACUGCCAGGAGCAUGUUGGUUUCUUCUCUAUACACUAAAGUACUCAAACUUGCAAAUAGCUGCUGAUGAAGUACUAAAGUUUCUAGGCAGCCUAAUCAAAUGUCAUUAUCAAACCAAUAAGAAAGUAUCAGUUAGUUACUCAUGAGAAAUCCUGUAAAAUCCUGGAUAUUGACCCAAAUCCUUACCUGGGGUCAUCUACUCAAAUGUUACCUUUUUCAUUAGGAAAAGAAAAUUAUGUUGAGCAAAGUAUCAAUCAACUUCAGUUAUCUCAGAUCAAAAUGUGUAAUAGUCCUCCCUACACCAAAAUUCAUCCCAGAAUUAGUGGCCAUCUUGGUUCUCUUAGUCAUGUCAAAAGCUAGGAAAAAUUCACGCAGGGAUGAGAGGGUUAGAAAAUGGAGCGCUACAAACCUCCACCCCUCCUUCCCCAAAAACGACCUUUUUAGUCAUAGAGGAAAUGUUUCUUCGUAGAAAAAGCCAACCAACCAUCAAGUAUACUUUGUUUUUGGGAAGGGAAGAAGAAGAGGGAAGGAGCGAAUUUUUGGGCAAUGGAACAACUUUAAAGUUGACUUCUUUUGUACUUUUGGAAGUCCAUCACAAUUAAGAAUAUUUUUGUUUUCGAUUUCCCAUAAAUUGCGCAAUAUUAAAUAACCGUUCUACGUGACUUUCAUAACCAUUUGGUAUCAGGCAGUAGAAGAGUGUAUUUCAUACUAUGAACUGAUUUAGUUUGACAACACCAUCGAGUUGAUUUUGUUCAAUACGAUCCACAAAUUUAAAUUAUCACCUCAAGAAGUCAAAUACAUAAUAUCUGAGUUGAAGUUGUAAUAAGUUAUUAUCCCAGUAACAGUUUCAUAUUUGGAAUAUACAUUGGGACUGAAAUCAUUAGGAUUUAUUUGAUCUCUUUACGGAUAUUCAUUGAGCAUUAUCCAAGCUAACAGGAGCUACUUUCUUGAUAGGCUCCAAGCAUCAAUCUAAUUCCAUCAAUUAUAGAUUCACAUGAUUCCAGACUUUGGUUUAUUUGCACAACAUUAUUAUUUCUCAUUUUCUCCAGGUAUGCUGCACGACUGAGCAGUAUAUUAUGAGCACUCAAACACCCUCUGCACCUUCAGUUCCAGUUGCAACGGCACUAUCUCCUGUUUUAUGGCAGGUAUUGUGUCUUCUAUGAAUACUUUCAUCUUCACGCCACCUUGAGGUUGAGCGAUACAUUUGACUUACCCCUAAACAACAAUGUCUGAGCAGCUAAAUUUGCCAGAUCGCUUUGACAUCUACAGCGCCGGGCUCGUAUUUUUACAAAUGGUAAGUUAGCGAUACUAGUUAAUUAUGACUGUUUCUCCUGGAUGAUGUCCUAGGAAUGAAAGCAGUUACGUAUAGGAGAACAAUAUACUCUUUUCACGAGUAUAAAAAAUGGUCAAUAAGUAGUUGGAAUAUCCUUUGCUGAGAUUGUCAUUCUGUACUUAUUUUCACAUUGUCAUUGACUAACAAACUUCACCAUGUUUAAAAUUCAAACGGAAAAAAGAAAAAUCUUUGGAAAGAAUUUUCUGUCUCUGUCUGCAUAUAACAAUGGCACAAAUAUAUGUAAAUCAUGUUUGAUAUUCCUUUUGAGGUUCUGCAUUUCAAAAUUUCCCUACAGAGAAGCUAACUCGAUCCCCAAGUGCGGCAUUGAAGUCUGAAACUAAUCAAGUAACACUAUGAUUGUGGUGAUUGAUAAUUACUGUUUUAUUGCAUUGGGUGUAGUGUUUGAUUGGCACUGCCUUAGUGACUUCCCCCUUAUUGAUGAUGAGCUCAUUGCCUGCAGGCAUUCCUGGACUACGAAACGACAAUAGUCUCAUACAAUUUAACCGUCAGCUAAAGCGAUGUGACUACGAUCUGGUUGCAUGGAGGAAUACAGUAGAACCACGUGCAAGCAAUGAGCUUAGAAGGGGCUUUGAGUUGUUAGAUCUGGAUGGUGGCAUUGGAUGGGAACUUUUAACAUCAAUGGUUCGGUAUGACGCCAAAGAGUCAGCGCAAAAGAAGCUUUAGCUCAUCCUUAUUUUGAUAGAGAAGGCCUAUUGGCCAUGUCCUUUAUGCAGAACCUAAGGAUGCAAUAUUAUCGAGCGACACAAAAAGACUAUAGUGAAGCUCUCAAGUGGGUUGUUCGGCUGAUGGCAAAGUCAGGAACAGAGCAGGACGGUGGCUUCACUGAAGCACAGCUUCAGGAGCUCAGGGUUUGUAUAUGCUAAACUGCAUAUUAUGGAUUUUAGAAAUAGUUACACUAUGAGUUACAACUCUCUAUCUGCUUUAUGCAGGAUAUACAACCUAAAAAGAAGUCGAGUGCGCAAAGGAAUGCUCUUGCAUCAGCUCUCAAGCUGCAGAGAAAAUCACAAGGACAUUAAAGGAGAGUGUUGAUGAACUUAAUCAAAGGCGAAAGAGCGUAUGGUGGAAUCGGUGGAUCCCAAGAGAGAAUGAAAUUUGUAAAAAUAGUAAUUUGCUUAUGCAUGUAAAUUAUUUUGCAGUCCUCAACCUUAACUUCUCUAGCGGAGUAAAUGAUGUUUAAUAGAGAGUACAAAAGCAGAUUUUAUAUAAAAAGUAAUAAAUGAUGUUUAAUAGAGAGUACAAAAGCAGAUUUUAUACUGUAUAAAAAGUAAUGUACAUCAUUCCACUCACACUCGGAUUAAUCCUCUUGUAUGGUAGGAGACGUAUAAAAGAAAAUUUACAGAUAAUCGAUUGUCCCUUCAGUUUUCUGAUUCUGAAUUUCAUACCAUUAUCCUAAGGCAUGCAGAAACACACAUUAACCAAGGCCAAAGAUCAUUCCUGUUGCAUAAUUCAGCCCUUCAUUUCACUUUCUCAAUUUAUUCCUUUUGUAGUAACAUGGAUACGUAGUUCGUUGGAGCUACAAAAAUAGGCAUAUAGAUAGCAUGAUAAUUGACUAAUUAUUUCUGUCUUCCUCACUGGAAUGAAGAUUGUAAGUAGCUAUAAUACGUGUGCAUUCAUCAUUUCCAUAUCCAUUGAAUGGAGUUAGUAGGAAAUGGAACAUCAUAUACACAGUUUUUUCUUCUUUAAUUUCCUUAGCAUUUCUCUUAUUUGCCUCCUUAUCCUAAUCUUGCUUUUCUAUUAGUACUAGUAAUUUCAUCUUGCUUAAUUUGGUGUGUUCGGAAACAAAAAUUUUUCAAAUAUUAUUUUAUUUGUGUCAUAAAAAUAUUUUUCAACCACGUUUUUAUAUUUUUAAUUAUUUUUUUAUUUCACGUACAUCAUAUCAAAAAAAAGUGCUAUAGUGACCUUUCUAAAUAAUAUUUCAAGCAAUCUGCCAUCCAAACACACUACGGUAAUUUCAGUUCUGCCACGCUCCAUAAUGCUCAAUUAAAAAUCCUUUCCGGAUCUCAAGGUUUUCACAGCAUACCUGGGAUAUUUCCAGGCAAAAACUGUUAAGGAUGACGAUGAGCCAUGUUAUGGCAUGAGACCUAUCAUUGUGCCAACAAUGUAUUGACCCAUUGUGCUGGAUACGUAUGAGAGUUUCAGAGUUGUGAUAUACAAGUCGGAAUAAUUACAUAUCUAAGCUAAAACUUUAAGAUGAUAAAUGCGUAAAAAAAUAAAAAGGAUAAUGAAUAAGUCAAGCUAAUUCUCUGUUCAUGUUGUGUUCCCUACCAAUAGAGGAUAUAGGGCUUGUUUUCAAAUGAUUCUAAGUAAAUUAAAACAAGAAGAUAAAUGUUUUUAGCUUCUGAUUCGAAUUAUGAAAAUCAGAAGCAUCUGUGAGAACUUAUCUACAAAGAUUGAGGUUCUCUGGUAAGCUGACAACUUCAUCCCCGAACUUGCAUGGCAAUUCAUAGCUAAGUAAAACUUAAAACUGAGGCCAACGGUGACAGGCCAGAUAACCAAGAAUUGGUCACGUUGUUAGUUGAAAACAUUGGAAGCAAUUCUGACAUGCUUAGGAUAAGUAAUUAUUGUUCGUACAGUUAAUUAACUGUCAUCAACUCACUAUCAAGAAACCCUUCAGUCUCCACCAUCAUCCUACCUUCCUUCCUCUCCUGAGGGAACUCCAUUUAUGGAGAUUUGAUACGCACGUAAGAAUACAAAUCAUGCACUACUAUGCUUCUUACUACUGAUAUUUGUUUGAGCAUAAAUUAUUACCCAUUCGUGCUGGCUUAUGGCAGUUGACACCACAAUUAGAGUACUUAACAUAUUCAAAUCUGCAGAAGUAACGUCACCAAUAACUAAUUUACAACUAAGUACUAUUGCUUUGCGGAUGAACUAGCUUUUAAAUAAUUUAGGUGAAUAUACCUACUUAUAUAGAGUUCAAACGUUGGUGGCAGCAAUAAUUAACGAUUAGUAGCAUAAGAUGAUGUCGAGAAUAGCAGGAACAACAACCGUAUCAACCAUGAGAGCUUCACGUGUGACCUGACCUUCUUGUUCAGGCACACAAAAGUCCACUUUUUUAGCCCUUGACAGUACAACACACACCCCACCAUAGUCACUUCAAAGUAAGCCUGGAAGACUCGGAUUAUGGCAUAGUACAAGUUUCUUAAUCAGCACUGUCCCCCUCAGACUUGUUUUCUUUCUUUUAUUGAUAUUUUCCCCUUACCCAAUGUGGUUUUGGGUCAUAGCCCAUCGUAUGAUUUUAUUGGCAUUUCAAAGUUUUGAUUAGCUUUGGAUAUUUCAUGGUUCAUGAUCAUUUGUUGUUUUAUGCGUGAAUAGAACAAUGACUAUAGCUUACUGAGUCAUCCUGCAUCUAUUUUAAGGACCUGCACAUUGCUUUAUCAUGAGCUAUGGAGCUUGGACUCAAUGUAUCAUGAUUUAACCUUGACUCAGACAUAAUGAAAAUCCAUCAUGGCGGACGAAUUCCCCAUAAGUUAGGUCCAUCUACACGCUUAACAUAAGAUAUGAAAGGAAAAAUUCUUCACUAUGUAAUUGCUAUCAUGCAUUCAAACUCAUCAGUAGAAGAAACGUUUUUCUAUGGCAUAGCCUAAUAUCUCCAAAAAAAACUAAAGGAAAGAGCAAAAAAAAAAAAAAAGAGAGAAAGAAAAACCAUGUAUUACACUUAGUUCAAGCUGACUAGAAAAACCAAUAAAACUUAAUGUCCAAGUCAAGGAGUUGGAGUGUGAACUGUUACAUUACGUUAUGUAAUUACUUUAUAUAAUGAAGUGUCAUGCGUUACAUUAUGUUGUUGCUUAAUACCUUUAUUUAUUUCGAGUGAUGAGUUUGAAUUGAAGACAGCUAACUAUAGACAUACGUGAGCUCAGAAACUGAGAAUGGCAGCUUCAAAACUGCUCAAAAGAAAGAACCCCCAAAACAAGAAAGUAAAAAAAAUCUUAAAUCAAUAGUUUAUUAGAACUUUAGGUUACUGAAAGCUGGUGUCCUUAGUGAAAUGGGAGGAACACGAGAUCAAGCAAGUGGGUUGGCUUUGCUUGGUAACCUGAUCAUCAAGAUUAAAUUAAUCAUUCACUUAAUCGAAUUUUGUGCUGUUUCCCCACUAGAUUUCAGCAAGAAAGGAGUAGUAGAAAAUUCAGCUAUGGUCAUUGCUUGGAAAUGUGGUUUCUUGGGUUCUUAAAUGUUGGUGCAAUAAAAGAGAAUAUGGCGGGGUAAUUGAAGGCUCACGUGAGGCUUAGUUUGACCGUUAUUUUGAUCGAUUCCCACAAGUAGCGUAAAAAUUCUCGUAAUUAAGCCAAAAUAUGCAGGGCAUACGAUGUUGAAACUUGCUUCCAUUUUUGCAAUUUAAUUCUCUCAAGCAUAUCUUUCUUUGAUCCCUUUUGGUUUUCAAUGUCAUUUUCAGAAUUUUCUAGCACAAUACUUUUUAUGGGUUCUUUGCCUUCAAUUUAUUUUGACAAAUUAUGACAAAAUGUUUCCUACAAAAAAAUUCAAUGCCAUUUACUUUGAGCAGAGUGAUUUCCAUUGGAAUUGUUGAAGACGAUCCUGCAAAGUAAAACGGUGACAAGGCAUCUUCAUUCAGCAAGUUCUUUAAAUUUCUCAUUCAGGAUGUUUUUUUGAUACCUUAGCUUAGUAGGGUAAAUACUUUAAUGCCAAUCCAAAUUUACAGAUACUCGUUGUGGUAGUCAACCUAAGAUGACUGAACCAGAUAUGAUUUCUCCUGUUAAAGAUAUUAUUACAAAAAAAAAAUCUCAAUAAAAUUAAUUCGUUCUUGGGUCAAUUCAAACUUUUAUUGUUUGCAUGGCAUGCCAACUGUAAGUUUAGUGCUUCAAGAAAAAAGAAAAAUGGAAAUCAAAACUUUGAAUAUAACACUUUGUAUAUCAGUGAUCACUAUAGUGACCACUAAUGAUACAGAAGGCAGAAUUCCUGGAAAAAAUGUUGCCUUGAAGCCUCCACUUGCACCCAUUGUCAUACAUACUGUCUCCGUAACUCCCAAUUAUACAAAGCAACUACUGGAACUGUUGACUUGAAGUUGCAACCGCACCCCAUUAUCACACCUAUUGUCCCAUAUGAAUAAUGCUGAUGGAAAUUUUGCUGGAUUAGAUUGGGAUAAUUCAUUAUAGUAGGCUAUUAGGUGGUGCUUUACUUUACAUGUACGUUAGUUAAAAUGGGCAUUUUUUAGUAGGAUCCAACUGAGACCCUCACUUUGUCUGUUUAGGUGGAUCCGACUCAAAUAAGACAUGAACUUAAAUGAGUGUACCAGAAAUAUGCAGGAGAAGGGUCACUUUGACCAAAAUUAUCACCUCAUCAUCAACACUAUUGCAAGGCAGCUCAUAAACUAAGGAAUUGUGCUACCUUAUUGAAGUAAUGGCUGACCCCUUAUGUUGGUAGGUGAUGCAUGAUAACCAGAGUUGUAUAUAGAGAAUGACAUGGCACUAUGGCAUUGAAUCUACACUUGUACAAAUAUGCAUUAGUAGCGGUAUUUAUUUACUCACUAGUGUUUGAAUAAUUUUAAUCUUUAUUUUUUUUUCCUCCAUGUUGGGGGUUUAUAGCAUGGAAUCCCAAGUGGGUAUGGGACCCUUAUGGUACUGUCUGGUGAGCUAGGGGGCACUGCACACACCUUGAUGCCCCAUAGUUGGCUCUUUACUCGACCAAGGCAAGUUUGGACCACACUUGAAACUCCUUAUAUAAAGAGCCCUUCUUGCUCUUUGUUCAUCACUUCAAUUUCAGCAACUUCUUCAUUCAUCACUUGUGAGUUUACCUGCACCAAAGCACAAAGAAGAAAAAAGAACACUUCUUGCAAUCUAUUGUAGAGAAGAUGAAGAUGAGCAGCACAAACAUGGGAAGCUCCAAGAGAAGAAUUUCAAGCAGAGGACUAGGAGGGGUCCUAAGAGAGCAAAGGGCUAGGCUUUACAUAAUCAGAAGAUGUGUGGUCAUGCUGCUUUGCUGGCAUGAAUGAAGAGUAUCUUUCUAGUUCUAUCUAGCCUUCAAUAAGAAGGGAUGCUUGUUUUUUUCUUCUUCUUCUUCUUUGAUCAUCUUGGGGAGUGUAAAUAGCAAAGGCCGAGAUUAGUGAGAAAGAAGUUAACAAUUUUGUACUAAUUAUUAAUUGGCUUUAUGAGCCUUCAUGUGUAUACAGUCGGAUAGCUUAAUGGAUUGAAAAAAUCAUCUUUAUCAAUUCAUUGAGUCUUAGUAAUUCUUUUCAUUUUCUCUCCUUUGAUAUUAUGUGUUAUCAUUUCUGCUGUGGAUUUUUGAAGAUGGAGGACUAGUUCAUCAGCCAAACUUAAUCAAGCUAUUGUAGGAUGAGGACAUGCUCACAAAAUUGGGUAGCUGAAGUCUAAUUCACAUUAAUCUUUACCUUCUGGUGAUCGGCUAAUCAUCUUUAUUUGAUCAUUUCUUUCAUCAGUCCUCAUGGAGGUUGACUAGUUUAUUAUCCUCACAAUAGUUCACAUUCAUCGCAGUCCUCAACGUACACAAAAAACAAUGAAGAUAAUGAAUGCUUGGAUAUUUAAGCAAUAGGGAACUGGUGAUGACCAAAUUGGGAAGAUGUAUGAUCGGAUUCUUUAGUGCUAGCUCAAAGUUCAUAUCAACUUCAAUUUGCAGAUUUUUCUACUUGUAUUUUCGUACCUGAAUUAUUCGAAUAUCUGGAUCCCCAGAUUCAGAAUCAGAUGAGCAGGACUUCCAAGUUUCUUCCCAGAAAUUAAAAUUCAAAAAUCCAGAUCUUUGGAAGACUUUUUUAUUUCGUUUUAUUUUGGUAUUGGCAUUGGAUUGUUUUCUUUCCCGCAAGAAGUAGUACUAGUACUUACCUGUCGUCCAAAUUUAGAAGCUACCUAAGCCAUCCAACAAGUACCAGAGAAAACAGGGUGGAAAAAUUUUGUAUUCGUUUUAUUAGGCUUAGCCAGUCAGGUUUAUAGCAGAUACCAUACAUAUUACACUUAAUUUUGCAGGCUUUUUUUUUUCAGAAAAGAAAGUAGUUGAUAUUUCUAGUAGAUUUAUGCUCUUUAUUUCUGCGCAUAAACUUGAAUUAAACUCUUGACUGGUGCAAACAAGUAAGGGAAAAAAAAAUAUAGAUUAUCUUUAAUUAGCAGAACAAUGACUAAACCUUUUUUCUUUAUAUAUAGAUUUUGAGCGAAUUAUUAGCAAAAACCUAGAAAUAGUAGUAUUAUUUCCUGCUGUUUUAACACUUUCUGAUUAUCAUGUAGGCCCUAUAAUCAUUUAAAGUGAUAAAUGUUGUGAUCUUACUUUCCUAGUUUCCAAUCCAGUCAAACUAUUUACAAACUUUUUGUACUCUCAGGAAAGCAGGUCCAAAAAAGACACAGAGUAUCUUAUAUAUUGCAAAGUAUGUUAUUACUUAAUUGUUACAUGCUUAAUUAACGAUUUUGAUUGUCGUCUUGUGAAUUGCAGGUGCAGCAAGAAAUUGACUUAAGACACUAAUUGAUAUAUUUCAUCUGUUUCUUUUGUCUGCUUUUGAUAAUUGAGGGUUUGGUAGCUACAAACAUGAAAAUUUAGCUAAUUAAGCUUUAAUAAUUAAGUUGGAGAUUAGUUAGUUUGUGACAAGGUAUUGUCUUGAUCAUCUUGUCUUCAACCAAACCUGCAUUAGUGAAUUUCAAAGUAUUGUAGUCGAAGAAAGAGAUGUUGGCCCAACCAGACAACGCCACUGACUCUUAUGCCAAUUAUGUUAAAUCCUGUGAUUAAUGAUUAUCCUAUCCAAGGGACAUUGGAGUCAAACCUUCAUUUCAUUAACAAUUGUGGUAAGGGACUCCAACCUAAUAUUUACAUGUGCCAUGCAUAUUAUAUAAACUGAAUUAUUAAGUAGUAGUAGUAGUAGUAGAAUUGAAAUAAUAGCACACAAAAUUAAUUAGGAUAAACAGUCAGAUAUUAACACUUCAAACUAUAUAUGCUGAACUCUUUUUUUUUUUUUUUGGAAAACAAUAAUGGGGUCAUAGGACUAUAAUGUUCAGCGUGUCCCCAGAAAUUAAUUUAUACUGCUCAUCUUGUACGUCUAUUUUUCUCCCCCUAAAGUUGAAAUGAUUUCUUUUUGCAUCUAGCUCAAGAAAUCAAUAUAGUUAGUCUUAGGAAGUAGAAACUUGAAUUUAGUAAAGUUUCUGAAAUUUUCAGAAAGUAGAAUAAGUGUGCAAUAAAGAUGCUACUUUUUUCUCCAAUGACCCCCUAAAAAAACAACAAAGAAAAGAAAUAAAGAAAAAGAAAACAACAAAUUAAGAAAAGUGCAAAACAUAAACUUAAUAGUGUCUUGUAUGGAAUUCUCCUCAACCAAAAAUUUGGACACCGUUAUAAGCUUAUAAACAUUCUUGGAAUUAAUCACAGAAUUCAAGUCAUUCUCAUUCAUCCUUGUGCUAUUUAUUUUUCCUUUUCCCUAGAAUAAUCUUCUUGGAAGGUAUUCAUUAUUCUCUUUUUCUUUUUCCAUUUUCUCCCAAUUAUUCAGCUAGAGUUGGGCCAACAGGCGCUUAACAACAAAAAGAAAAACUAGUGCCAGAACCAAGCUGCGGAAAAAAACAAGAUAGGAUAAAAAGGAACAAAAUAUUUGUAUUUUAGUGAUCGUGAGGUGCCACAUUAAUUAGUUGUUCUAGUUGAAUUAAAACUUAGGUGAUAGUGACGAACUAAAAAUAAUGGAUAUCAAUUGUCCUGUUUGUUUAAUUUUUAGUAACAUUAUACACAAAGUCUAAAUUUCAAUCUGCAAAUUUACUAUUAAAAACUUGAUAUUUAUAAAUUAAAAAAAAUUAAUCUUUUAAAAUAGCGUAAGUGAAAGGGUUCGAAUUCAAAAUCUCGCAUUUACACUCUUUUAUUUUUAAAUAAAAAGAGAGUUAUUAUACUAGUGCUCUAUAUAUUAUCAAGAAACGUGCCAUCUAAAAACAUACAACAUAAGAAAUAUCGUUCAUCUUCUGUUUAUUGGAUGCCAAAUCAAUUAAAUGCCGAAUCAAAUUUUGAUGUAAGAUGGUUGAUGUUUCAUGUUUCUUGAAGGGCUUGUGAGAUUUAUGAUUAAAACGUCAACUUUUAUGUUUAAAUUCAUCUGGAAUCAAACUUACAGCGCGAAGCUUACUGCGUUUGCCAUUCUUGCGGCAUCAACAUGAUCUGAUCUGUGAUGAUGUUACUAAAACUGUUCUUUUCUUCUUUCCCCUUCAAAAGAAAAAAGAUCAUGUACAGAAAGAAAAGGUGAACAAACAAAAGUGCUGUACAAGAAAAAAUAAAGAAUGGCAAAUGGGGUGAAGGAGUUGAAACAGUUAAAAGUCCAAAACUGAAGUGGGGCAAAGAUUGUCAGGCUGCACAGGAGCUGAAUCGCUAAUCUAAUAUUCUGCUGUCGGCCACAUAACAAUUGCCAUCUCAUCUCGUCUCUCAGCUAAGCCAAAAUUGAGGUGAGCUCAAGAAAUGGAGUGAUGGAGCCAACCCCGACACAAUGUGAUCAGUCAAAAUGGCAGCCUUAUCCACCCCCACGUGCAUUUUCUUAUCUUCAACCCACCACCACCACCAUCCCAGCCCAUGAGGCAACCACCACCACCACCACCACCUCCACAACGACCAUGACCUCCCUCCCCUUUCAAACCCCCCAGUCCCCACUCCCUGUGAUUCUUUUCUAAUCAUCAAAAAUCCCCAUCAAAGUGGUCCGCCCGCCUACCCCUCCCUAGGCAUAUAGAUUCUUCCUAUGUAGUACUCGUAUACUUACUUCCAGUAUGGACUUGGACUAACAUGCAUACAUCAUCACUGCUAAAAAAUUUAACCGAUAUAUCUUCAAAAAAGAAAGAAAGAGAGGAACGUAAAAAUUGUUUCAAGAUUCAGAUCAACUGCUAUAUGCAUGUAUAUAUGUAUGUUUGUGUGUGUAUAUAUAUAUAUCUUCUUGUACUUGGGAUGCAAUAGACGUUCAAUGCCAAUAUCUGACUAAGAUAAUUCAUAUCUCCUUCGUUACGUACGCUUGAAUGGAUGAUUGGCUUUGCAAUGGAUGAUAUAUCUCCCAGUUUUGGAGUCUAAUCUUAUCACCCGCCAAGCAUACAUGCUCGCCCGUUUGUAGAUACAUCUGGGUGAAUUGAUGCGUAGUUUUGGUAGGUAAGGUGAGUCAGAGUUGAUAAGAACAGCUGACUAACGAGUAACUGGGUGGAAUCAUAAUUUACGUAAAUUAAAUGGGUCAGAAAGGCAAUUAAAUGAUAGGUCUACGCGUGUCAAUAUUUCUUCCCCUCCCAUGCGACCCUUUGGCAUAGAUGCAAAGGAAGUGGAAAGCCUGGAAGGGGUUUCGAUGAGCUUAGAACUUUGGAAGGCUUUGGUGGGCAUCAUCACUUGAACUCAUUUCUCAAUUGUUUCUGUCAAUUGUGCCCGCAAUUAUUCGUUGUGAGAAAGUGACUACAGAUGGGAGCACAGUGGGCGCUUUCAUGCUAAAAGAAUGUGGUUUUGUCCACCUCCCAAACACGCCCCCCCUCCCAAAACCCCCCAUCCCUACAGCAAUUACCUCUGACUUGAAUAUAAAUUUAAAUCUAACAAAGAAAAUGAAGAAAAAAGGGAUUAUGUGAUAAAUUUCUUGUAAUAAAGAGUACAUGAUUACCUUUUUGCUGGUUAGAUUACUUUGAUCGUUAGUCAUGAGGAUAGUUUGUAGGUAGGUUUCAUCAACGUAAAGGGUGAUUUGUUACUUACCUCUAAUGAGAGGGGGGUAAUUGAAAUUUAGCCUGGAAUGAAAGGAAGGAGAAAUCAAUCAUGCAGAGUCUAUAUCUUUUGAUUUUUUAUUCUUGUGAGAGGAUUUAAUAUUGAGAAUCGAGAGGCCAAUACAUUGCGAUAGAAACAAGAGAAGAAGAAGCCAGAAGUGGUCCAUUUCCACAUGGAUUAAUUUAACUCUUUCGGACUUGUGGCAUUAGGGGUUCAGCCUAGAUGGUGUCUUAUUGGGACACAGCCACUCAUGCAGCUCUCUGCAUUGCUUCUUUCGGUGCUUUGAACUUUGAAGGCUUGCUUGCUUCAUGAUGGUCAAGACACUAAACUAUAGAUGUAAAAAAAAACACUCUUUUUUUCUUUCCAACCUCAAUGUCCUCCUUGUCCACCUCCAAUAAUAUAUCUAUCUAAAUCGAUCUGUGUGGAUGAUUGCUGAGAAUAGUAACCUUUUGCAUUAU
rnacentral:lncRNA from 1 species